rnacentral:lncRNA from 1 species
UGAUACUGAAAUUAACAGGAAAAUUUGAGGAAUUUUACCACUUUGGAUCCCUCAAUUGCUUCAUUUAGCAGCUCUGGAACUCCAGUGCACUCAUAACAGUAAUCUACCCCCAGUCCACCUGUAGUCUCUUUGAUCAAUUCUGAUACAGGUUUAUCAGAUUCUUUUGGAUUGAUAAAUUCAGUCAUUCCAAAGACUUCUCCUUUCUUCUUCUUUAAGUUGUUUACGUCGAUCCCAAUUAUCCUAGAAGCUCCAUUCAUUCGCGCUGCCUCUAUCACCUGCGUUAGUUGCCAUUAAGGUUCAUUGCUAAUAAAAUUUUGAUAUGUAUGGAUGUCAUCAUGGUCAAUGAAGAUGCGUACAGCUAGCACUACCGUAAGGGCAUAUUUGUACACGGUAUAGUCUUGUGUAGUCUAGUAUACCAAACACACCACAAAUGUAUAAUGCUAUCACUAGCUAAGGACAUGUAUUAUACACGGAUUUGGAUAACAUUGAAUAGUGCAAUGGAGAAGAUCCAAUAUAGUACCAUCCAGUAUACCAAACAUGCAACGAGUCUAUCACUACUGCAGUGGGUGUGUAUUGCUAUCAUUAUUGCAAGGGUAUGUUUUCUACACUAUAGUGAAUAGUCUACAGUGCGGCGAACUGGAUUUUAACAUUUUUUUUCUUUCCUAAUACUGUUCAAUCUUGUCUACUCCAAUAUAUGAAACAUGCCACGAGUAAAUACAUGUACUUACUCCAAGUCCAACAGCACCAACACCAAUAACAGCAACAGUUGAGCCCUUUUCAAUAGUGACUUCCCUCCAGGCAGAUCCAAAACCUGUGGUGAAACCACAGCAAAGGAAACUUGCAUGUGCAAGAGAAACACGGGGAUCAACCUUGACUGCAAAAUUCGCGUCGAUAACGACAUAUUCAGACCAUGUACCACAGCUAAAAUGGUGAUAUAUUAUCUGAUCUCCAAUGUGCAUUCUUGAUGUGCCAUCUGGCAUUAGGCCAGUGAAAUUUAAGGGAUAUUUGUGGCAUAAAUUUGUCUUCCCGGAUUUGCAAUUCAGACAUUCCCCACAUUCUCCCAGAUAGAGUGGCAUCACUACAUCUCCUUCCUUCAGAUUUGUGAUUCCUUCUCCCACACUUUCUAUCAUGCUGUAUUUGAAAUUUUUAUGAAAGUAUCAUAUGAUCAUUAUGUUUAAGCUUAGUUCAGAAAUAACAUCGUUUAGCAGAAUAAAAUUCUCGAUUUUGGUUUAGAUGAAAAGUGUUUUAUGGAUAAAAUCUUCAUUAAUGUCUCAUUUGAAACCAAAAUAAAUGUCUACUUGAGCACGGACCUGGAAAGGUCACAUGAGCUCAAAUUCUUAUAACAAAGGCAAAUUUAUUAUUUGUUUUGAAUUCUGUAUAUACAUGUUUUCGAGCAUGUACUUUGAUUUUAAGGAUGCAGAAUUCUCCAUUUAGGGUACGUUUAUACUCCGGAUUCAACAUGAAUACAAAGUAAAGACAUACCUUGAACAAGUAAGAAUGCGAUUGGUUCGUUAUUUUGAGGCCAUUUUCAGUUUUAUAAAAUACUCAAAACGUGUUUGGUAUUUUAUUUUCAAAAAUGCGUUUUUUAAAACAAGGAAAAUUUACAACAUAAAACUCGAAAUGACUUUUUGACAUUUUGAGUGUUUUCAAUAAAAACACUCAAAAAACUCAAAACAAGGCGAAUGAACUAAAAAAUUUUCCAAAUUAAAAUAAUUAAUAAAAUCACACAAAAUUUACCCAACUACAUAUCCUCCCUCCCAUACUCCUUCAAAAUGUCAUAAAACUAUUUCUAAAAUUUUUAAACUAAAUAUGUUUUCUAGUUUUUUUUUUUUUUUCUUUGAAAAACAGUUUUUCAGAAUGACGAACCAAACGCUUUUUCUGCAACCUUAAAAUAAUCCCUCAAAGUAUAAAACAGAAAAUGAUUUCAAAACUGAAAAUAGAAAACAGGAAUGCAAACUAAACGCACCACAAGUUUUUGAAAUAAAAUUUCAGAAUAAGUAACUCAAAAGCUUAAAACAUGCUUUAUGAACAAGGGUCGUAUAAAAUUUGUCAGUUGAAUCCCAGUAUCAAACAUGCUACUGCUCUAUCCAUAAAGCAUCAAAGGUAGAAAGAGAGAGAGAGAGAUUUACCCAACUCCUUCAUGUCCAGGAAUCCGAGGAAACAAAGGCUGCAAAAACAGUCCAAAGAACAAAAUCAAAUCACUCAAAUUCAGCAAUUUCAGUAGACUGUAAAUCAAAAAUUUCAAAAACCCAACAACUAAAAACUGAAUUCCUUACAACAGGGAGUCCAUUGCGACACAGAAAAUCAGUGUGACACAAACUUGCACAAAGCAUUUUGAUCCUAACUUCAGAGGAUUUGGGAGGAUCCACUUGUAUUUCCUCUAUUUUCAAUGGGUCUCCUGAUUUCCAUACCACUGCAGCUUUGCAUGUAAUUACUCCUGGAUUGCCUCUAGUCAUGGUGGAUACCUGGUUGCAAAUGGGAGAAUAUUGUCCAGUCACGGUUCUGUAUAAACUCAUGUAUAUAUAAUAGAGUUGACGGGGACGGGUAAUAGACGUGGGCUUGUUUUUUUGCUGUGAACCGUUGCUCGCGUUGUUCGCGUGCUACAUUUUUAAAUAAUUUUUCAAUUUUUGGCUAAAUGAACUAUUUACCACAGGUCAAUAAUCUGUCUUGUCACUUGUGCUUGUGAAGCUCGUGGAUUUGAUUAAAAAUAGAUAGGUUUGAAAACCCGGUCGGUUUUCACUUAAAGAAGAUAGCGGGUCGAGAUUAAAAAUGUUGACUUGAAACUGAGUCGAGGUCGAAUUCAUGAUAAAAGAAUAUUUAGAAAACAAAAGAAAUAAAUAAAUUGAAGUGAACUAGUCAGUUCUUAUUAUAAACUGAACGAGAAUAGUUACUCAAUCACUACAAAAUUGAAAGUUUGGAGAUUCAAAUGUUGAAAUUAUACGUAUCAAAUUUGAAUUUGGAGAUUAUUUUUAUGAAAUUCGAAAGUUGAUUAAUACAUUGGUCUAUAGUCGUCAUGGCAAGUAUCGUGCACUUUCGAUAUACUUUUAUUAGUACUUUUCAUCAUUGAAUAAUUAUAAAUUUUCUCGAAGUUGUGAAAUAUCUGAAUUAAUUGAUCCACCGGAAUAAAUAUGAAGUUCAAAAAUAAAUUCUUUAAAUCUUUCAAGGUAAGUGCUUAUAAAUUUAAAUGCAGCCACAACUUUAGAGAAAUUUAUAAAUAAAAUGUAAGAUAAUUUUACAUGAUAAUAUAUUUAAUAAGUUGUUGAUUACAUUCAUUUUAAAUUAGAAAAGUUAUUGUAAUCAAAUCAAAUAUGUUUGUGUUUGAUUUUGAUUAUUCGAUCAUAUUCGGUAGAGGUUUUAUUAUCCGAGUUAUUAAUGGCUCUAGUUACUUCACCCAUGAAUAAAGAGACUUAACGUGCGAUUUUUCAAAGUCGUGUUUGCUAUAAUGUGCAGUAGUUAUUAACAAGAUCAUCAAGUACAAAUAAUCGAAAGCUCCAAAAAAGGUAUACAAAAAUUGUUCGAAUCGAAUUUUAUACAGUGUGUGACUAUUAAGUAAAAACACUAAUGCAGCAGCAAUCAGUAUAAACACUCUUGCUAUAGCAUUAGAAUUGGUAUUUGGUUCGAUAAAACGUAUCAAUCAACACUAACCGACACCAAAUCCGUCGUAAAAGCAGCAUUGCUUUUCUCGUAUGAGACCAUAAGUUGUGGAAUAGCUCUUCGCUAGCAAUGAACUUCGAUAGAUUUUUCAGAAUCUGUCACUUUCACACACACUGCUUGCUGGAGAUUGUAUUGGUUAGAUUUGGCAUUUCCUGAUAGUCAUCCGAUUCAUCCUCCUCGUCUGAGGAUAGGAAAGAUGGACCCAUCCAUGACUUAAAACCUUCGUUAACACGUCUCUCCACCUGUGGUGUGACUUCCACUGGAUUUAUUUCGAGCAUUUCCAACCCAAUAUUCCUUCCUGCAAAGUCAUUCUCGUCAGGAAAUACAGCUGUUUUUCUUCUUAGCAAGAAGGCGGUUCCUCCGUAUAGAACUACCAGCCCCCAUGAUGCGAUUUCAUAGCACCAGAACAACGGCAAUGAGCAGCUGCUACCAAGCGUGAGGAGAGUUGAACCAAGAAUUAGUGCAAGAAGACCAAAAAUGAUGGCAAACGUGGCAUUUAGGAUGGAUAGACAGCGUACACCUCCUGUAGAUGAUAGAAGUUUUUGCAAAAACUCCAGAUGAGAACUCAUGCUGAAAUGAUGAAUCGCAAGAAGAAGACAUUACACAACUACAAAACAAUAGAAUAUAACAAUUGAUAUUCUUGAAGCCUCUUAACCCUUCUGUAAGCCUAAUGUUUUUCUAACCAAAUAAUUGACAGCUUUAGUUAUCUUCUAAAUUAUAUUUAGUGUUGACGUGCUUUGUAAAAGUUAAUGAUUUUGAGUUUGGAAUCCAUGACUGUUAGCACAGCCAGUAUAACCACCUUAACAUGUUAUCCUUGAGUACAGGUGCUACUCAAAGUAGACAAGAACAAUUGGACAACUACAGUGGACUAUGUGGUUGAAUUUCAAUAUGAUGCAACCUACAAUCUGGGUUACAAUACUUUAACCCACGAACUUCGCGUGCUCAACGAUGCAAGAAACAAACAGAUAUACCACAACUUUCACCCCUUAAAUUUCAAAAGUACAAUGCCACGAUCCUCACAUUAAGUAAAACAUAUAGCCCGAUUGAAUAUGGAGAGCAUAAUUUGAUUAGAGUUCAGCAAUUUUAACCUUCGAAAUCUAGAGUGCAAUGGCCUCUGCUGCUUUAAAUAAAUUAAAAUCCACCAAAAGAAACAUGCCCCGCAACUGUGAUGCACAAAAACAUAGACUGCAAUAUUCAUUCUAGAAAAUCCAGUAACAUAAGAAAGGUAGGGUCAAAAUAACAUCUAGUACCUCUUCUAGAAGCACAGUAAUUAUUCUCAACCACCUUCAAGCAUAUGUGUUUUGCAGGAGCAGCACGGACAACGGUAAUUCCUGCAGGGAAGUUGGAAUACAUUAUGUCUGAAACCAAAAAAUAAAAUUAUGAUUAUAUUCACCACAAACAAGAAGAGUUGAGCGCACUUCACAUGAAGUCAAAGGAACCAGAAAAUCAAAUUGAUGAAGGUAAAGUUGUAUACCACACCCGUUUGGUUUGCAGAAUUAUCUAUUAUGGAAAGGUCAGGUAUUCCCAUUCUAUUUUUACUAAUAAGGAAAAUGCAUCCCCUAUAAUAUUGUUUGUGAAAAAUCAUGGAAACUCAUUAACUACAUUUAAGCUAAGGAAUACCUUUUCUGGGAAUUUGGAUAACCUAUAAAUAAGACCAAGUUGACCAACUCCAUAAAUGUCCUCAGGCGUCCCCUGUUUUCUCUUCCACCCCCUGCUCACCUUCACAGUUCCUCACCACCCUAUUCCUGUCCGCCAGUGGAGACCACUUGACCACCAUCCCUGCACAUGCCAUCCUCUAAACACAUAAUGAAUGGUCCCACCCUUCUCUAAAUAAUGUUGUGAAUUAGAUCCCCAUAAAUUUGAAAUGACCCCAAAAAAAGCCCUUGUGGAUUUGUUGGGGUGUGAUUCUCUUGAAUCACUCUUUCGUGCUUCCACUUGAUAUUUUCAGAUUUAGCCCUUGUUUGAUCCCCAUAAUUUCCAAAAUACAUUUUUGUCUCUCUUCUUCUCAACCACAUUUUCUUCAAUAAAAUAAUAUUGCACCCAAACCCAAAACUUUUUUCAUUUUUUAACUACACAUUCUCCAUCAAUCUUCCAUUCCAAAAUGCAUUCUUGAAUAAAAAUGGGACUCAAACAAGCUCUUAGUUAAUUGACUUGGAUUUUGAUGGCUUUUGUGACAAAAAGAACAUUUUGGCUUGAAUAAAAUUUGAUAGUUCCUCAAGAUGGUUUAGCUGUGUACGGUAUUGAUCCUUAUCAGUUGAAUGAUUCCUUGCUUGGUAAUGUGGAGCAGGAGUCUGUUCCUGAUGAUGGUGAUUUUUUUUAUGAACAUGGAUCUAAGCAGGCAAACUGUUCAUUGAAGCUAGUUCCAGUUAAUGAUUUUGUCUUAGCAUCAAGUGAUAUUCAAAGCUGUUUACCCAGGGACAAAGAUCCAGUUCUAACUUUCACAAUCCCUGAAGAUGGAACUUUUGCUUCACAUUAUUGCUGUUCUAUGAGUUCUGACAUGCUGGGAAGCUCAUUUAGUAAAUCUUUCCCCUUUCCAAGUGAACUUCCUCCUGAAGAUGGUUUAGGUAUGUACGGUAUUGAUCCUUAUUGGUUGAGUGAUUCCUUGCAUGGAAAUCCAGAGCAGGAGUCUGUUCCUGAAUUUGGUUGUUUUUCUUGUGAACGUGGAUCUGAGCAGGCAAACUGUUCACCGAAGCUAUUUUCAGUUAAUGAUUUUGUCUUAGCAUCAAAUGAUACUCAAAACUGUUCUUCCAGGGACAAAGAUCAAGUUCUAAUUUCUGCAAUCCCUGACAAUGGUCCUUUUGCUUCACAGUCUUGCUGUUCUAUGAUUUCUGACAUGCUGGGAAGCUCAUUUAGUGAACUUUUCCCCGUUCCAAGUGAACUUCCUCCUGAAGACGGUUUAGUCAUGUACGGUAUUGAUACUUAUCAGUUGAAUGAUUCCUUGGAUGGAAAUGCGAAGCAGAAGUCUGUUCUUGAAGAUGGUUGUUUUUGCUGUGAAUAUGGAUCUGAGCAGGCAAACUGUUCACAGAAGCUAGUUCCAAUUAAUGGUUUUGCCUUAGCCUCAAAUUAUGCUCAAAGCUGUUUUUCCAGGGACAAAGAUCCAGUUUUAACGGAUGAACAAAAUGAUUGUGGAGCUUUAUUCUAUGACUCCCCAUGCUUUCCAAGCUUGGAUAUUCCAUUUUUCAGUUGUGAUCUUGUUCAACCUGGCAGUGAUAUGCAACAAGGGUACAGUCCACUUGGCAUUCGCCAACUGAUGAUAUCUUCCUUGAAUUCAUUCAAAUGGUGGGACUCACCAUCUAGGGAAGAUAGUUCAGAUGCUGUUCAGAAAAGUAUUGCCAAAACUUUUACAGACGCACCAUCUAUACUGAAAAAAAGACGCCGCGAUCUGGUGUCUCCUCUGUCAGAAAACAGAAGUCUGAAACAGCUUGAAAGUGACUUGAGGCAGGACUCACUAUCCAACCUGUCCAUUGAAUGUUCUGGAUUAGAGGCCGUGUGUGAUGAAUGUGUAGACCAGAAAGUACUUAUGCUGUCAUCAUCUCCAAAUGACAGAAGAAACUCUGAAUCUACUUGGGUAGAUAAAGAAAAUGUGAUUCCUGAUUUUGAAGAGGGGAGAGAGGAGGGCAACAAAAGCUUUGUAAUUUCGGGAAGCAGAAUGCUACAGAAAGAAUUAAACAGCAGUGAGUUUAUGAAGAUAAAACAACAGAGUGCAAUAAUGGAUAUCAAAAAUAUGGCUGGAGGCAAUGAUUCAGUAAAAACCGUGAGUAUUUUUUAUUGUGUGCAACUACUUUUUUAGGAACCUUUUUUUAAUGCUACUAACAUGCUCAUUUUACCGAUCUGGCCUUGUAAAAUCAUUUGUCUAGAUGUAAUAAUAUAUCACUGUAUGCAUUUUAUGAACUUCAAGCCGAAAAUAAGAAGAAUUUUCUUGUUGAAAUACUUGAACUUCGUGUACGACUUCUUAUGAUAAAACCAUUCUAAAAAUGUCAUUAGAUUUACACUUGAGAGAACUGCAUAUUUUAUCUUCAAUGAACUUGUUGCAAUGUGCACUAUCUUUUCCCGUAUAGCAAUAGAUCCUCCUCCUCCUGUCCACACAGCUAUAUGCUAUCAAAAACUUAUCUGGACAAAACCUUCGCAGGGGCGCACCCUUGAUUUUAAUGAGUGUGGGACACCGGUGAAGAAAGCUGAAAAGUUGUCUAGCAGCAUUGGUUGCUCAAGUCCCUUCCCCCAUCUAAAGAGUUUCAGGUAAAAGGCGCUCAUAGCCGAGGCAUUGUGCUGUAAAAUCUGAGAGUCUAUACAUAUGUCUCCUUAGAUUAGUGUAUGAAUUGGUUUAUUCCAUUGUAAUGCUCUAAAAUCUGAGAGUCUACACAUGUCUCCUUUGAUUAGAGAGUGAAUUAAUUUAUUCUGUCGUUUAAAUUUUGUCAAAGUGUGUGGAGUUAUUAUAUGAAUUAUCUAUAGGUAUUGUUUUGCUGAAGUAUUAUCAUGGUUAAAUCUUUGGUUUCACAAUGUAAUUUUCACUACAACGAUCAUUUUAAAUGAUUUUGGGCUUGUCUAUUAUGUCGAUCAAUUGAGGUGUAUUUAGCUCUUGAAUAGUUAUGAGAUCAGAGUUCUUGGAGCAACAUUUUGCUUGCUUUAUCUUGGCUCUUGCUAUUUUGGAUAGUUUUUAUUUUAUUAAUUGAUUAGACCGAUAUUUUCGUUAAAGAACAUUAUCUUGAACGUUUUUGCGAUCUUGUUUCCGACCUCCAUAUUGUCCCCGAUCCUACUACUCUGUCGUGAGUUUUAAAGGAUGUUAAGAUUCAGGCUUGAUUCUUGAAAUUCUCGCACCUAAAAAUUUUGGCAUCAUUUUUAUGUACACCAUAUUUCUUGCAUUCAUUUUCGGCACUUAAUUUUCUCUUAUUAUUGGACAUGUAGAGCCUAAUUAAACUUAUGGAGGAAUGCUGGAAAUUUUGUACAUGUAUUAAGUUGGUCGUCCUAAUAUUUUCUCCCCCAUAUGAAGACCACUGAGGUAAACCUUUUUUACAUAGAGAAAACAAUGGUUUGAAUUUCAAAUGCAACAUUAGUGAAAUCUUGUAGCUUCAAGUGGACGUUAUUCUCACUUUCUUUACUUGCUUUCGUUUUGUGUUUUGUGAUAAUUGCUCUCGGCUAACUGAAUUAGACCAUUAAUCCUUAAAAAUGACCAUAUUUCUAGACAACUAUUUUGCAUGUAGGUAUACAUAUGAAAUCAAUAAUACUGAUUUUUCUCUCAUUAAUUUUCUCCAUUCUUUAUUAAUUCUAAAGGAUAACGUAGUUUUUGAGGACCCCUUGAUAAACAAGCACACACGAGUACUGCUUGAUGAUAACAUUAUAUCAAUACAAGAGAAGAUCAUUCGUUGUUAUAUUUGAUAACAACUUUAACACAGCUAGGAUGCUUCAGAUAUUCCCAUGCCUUGUUAAUUUCUUCGAGUGAAACUUCAUGGGUCAACAGUUCAUCCAGUUGAAUUUCCUGUUCAAACAACAUUUUUUUCUUUUCAGUCCAUGUACAAGAAGGCAUAAUCAAUUAUUUUAGGGAAGUGACGAAGGUGUGUUUUCUUUUUUCAACAACUUAAAUUUUUAAACGUGGUGAUUCAAUCAAUAAAGCUUCUAGAUUUAAUCGUGAAACUCGAAAAGGAUUCAUACCUUAUUUAUGCAUUUCUCAACUAUUUUAGGGAGGUCUGUUUGAGGUCUUACUCCACCAUAAAUGGACCCCUUAAUUGUCCUACCACACAAGAGGGGAAUGUAUUUGAGCUCCCCACUUAAAUGAAGUCCUGCACCAAUGAAAACUAUUGUCCCAAGUCCCUGUUUAAAUGACACAAUUAAAAAGAAAUUAGUCUUAUAUUAUGAUCAAUAGGAAAAGCCAUUACUGAUAUUGAAAUUAACAGGAAAAUUUGAGGAAUUUUACCACUUUGGAUCCCUCAAUUGCUUCAUUUAGCAGCUCUGGAACUCCAGUGCACUCAUAACAGUAAUCCACUCCCAGUCCACCUGUAGUCUCUUUGAUCAAUUCUGAUACAGGUUUAUCAGAUUCUUUUGGAUUGAUAAAUUCAGUCAUUCCAAAGACUUCUCCUUUCUUCUUCUUUAAGUUGUUUAUGUCGAUCCCAAUUAUCCUAGAAGCUCCAUUCAUUCGUGCUGCCUCUAUCACCUGCGUUAGUUGCCAUUAAGGUUCAUUGCUAAUAAAAUUUUGAUAUGUAUGGAUGUCAUCAUGGUCAAUGAAGAUGCGUACAGCUAGCACUACCGUAAGGGCAUGAUUUGUACACGGUAUAGUCUUGUGUAGUCUAGUAUACCAAACACACCACCUACACGGAUUUGGACAACAUUGAAUAGUGCAAUGGAGAAGAUCCAAUAUAGUACCGUCCAGUAUACCAAACAUGCAACGAGUCUAUCACUACUGCAGUGGGCAGCAGGUGUGUAUUGCUAUCAUUAUUGCAAGGGCAUGUUUUCUACACUAUAGUGAAUAGUCUACACUACGACGAACUGGAUUUUAACCUUUUUUUCUUUUCUAAUACUGUUCAAUCUUGUCUAAUAUGAAACAUGCCACGAGUAAAUACAUGUACUUACUCCAAGUCCAACAGCACCAACACCAAUAACAGCAACAGUUGAGCCCUUUUCAAUAGUGACUUCCCUCCAGGCAGAUCCAAAACCUGUGGUGAAACCACAGCAAAGGAAACUUGCAUGUGCAAGAGAAACACGGGGAUCAACCUUGACUGCAAAAUUCGCGUCGAUAACGACAUAUUCAGACCAUGUACCACAGCUAAAAUGGUGAUAUAUUAUCUGAUCUCCAAUGUGCAUUCUUGAUGUGCCAUCUGGCAUUAGGCCAGUGAAAUUUAAGGGAUAUUUGUGGCAUAAAUUUGUCUUCCCGGAUUUGCAAUUCAGACAUUCCCCACAUUCUCCCAGAUAGAGUGGCAUCACUACAUCUCCUUCCUUCAGAUUUGUGAUUCCUUCUCCCACACUUUCUAUCAUGCUGUAUUUGAAAUUUUUAUAAAAGUAUCAUAUGAUCAUUAUGUUUAAGCUUAGUUCAGAAAUAACAUCGUUUAGCAGAAUAAAAUUCUCGAUUUUGGUUUAGAUGAAAAGUGUUUUAUGGAUAAAAUCUUCAUUAAUGUCUCAUUUGAAACCAAAAUAAAUGUCUACUUGAGCACGGACCUGGAAAGGUCACAUGAGCUCAAAUUCUUAUAACAAAUGCAAAUUUAUUAUUUGUUUUGAAUUCUGUAUAUACAUGUUUUCGAGCAUGUAAUUUGAUUUUAAGGAUGCAGAAUUCUCCAUUUAGGGUACGUUUAUACUCCGGAUUCAACAUGAAUACAAAGUAAAGACAUACCCUGAACAAGUAAGAAUGCGAUUGGUUCGUUAUUUUGAGCCAUUUUCAGUUUUUUGAAAUACUCAAAACGUGUUUAGUAUUUUAUUUUCAAAAAUGUGUUUUUUAAAACAAGGAAAUUUUACAACAUAAAAUGAUUUUUUGACAUUUUUAGUGUUUUCAAUAAAAACACUCAAAAAACUAAAAAAAAGGAGAAUGAACUAAAAAAUUUCUCAAAUUAAAAUAAUUAAUAUAAUCACACAAAACUUACCCAACUACAUAUCCCCCCUCCCAUACUCCUUCAAAAUGUCAUAAAACUAUUUCUAAAAUUUUUAAACUAAAUAUGUUUUCUAGUUUUUUUGUUUUGAAAAAUAGUUUUUCAGAAUGACUAACCAAAAGCUUUUUAUGCAACUUUAAAAUAAUCCCUCAAAACAUAAAAAAGAAAAUGAUUUCAAAACUGAAAAUAGAAAACACGAAUGCAAACUAAACGCAAAAUAAAUUUUUGAAAUAAAAUUUCAGAAUAAGUAAUUCAUAAGCUUAAACAUGCUCUAUGAACAAGGGUCGUAUAAAAUUUGUCAGUUGAAUCCCAGUAUCAAACAUGCUACUGUUCUGUCCAUAAAGCAUCAAAGGUAGAGAGAGAGAGAGAGAGAGAGACUUACCCAACUCCUUCAUGUCCAGGAAUCCGAGGAAACAAAGGCUGCAAAACCAGUCCAAAGAACAAGAUCAAAUCACUCAAAUUCAGCAAUUUCAGUAGACUGUAAAUCAAAAAUUUCAAAAACCCAACAACUAAAAACUGAAUUCCUUACAACAGGGAGUCCAUUGCGACACAGAAAAUCAGUGUGACACAAACUUGCACAAAGCAUUUUGAUCCUAACUUCAGAGGAUUUGGGAGGAUCCACUUGUAUUUCCUCUAUUUUCAAAGGGUCUCCUGAUUUCCAUACCACUGCAGCUUUGCAUGUAAUUACUCCUGGAUUGCCUCUAGUCAUGGUGGAUACCUGGUUGCAAACGGGAGAAUAUUGUCCAGUCACGGUUCUGUAUAAACUCUUGUAUAUAUAAUAGAGUUGAAGAGGACGGGUAAUAGACGUGGGCUUGUUUUUUUGCUGUGAACCGUUGCUCGCGUUGUUCGCGUGCUACAUUUUUAAAUAAUUUUUCAAUUUUUGGCUAAAUGAACUAUUUACCACAGUUCAAUAAUCUGUCUUGUCACUUGUGCUUGUGAAGCUCGUGGAUUUGAUUAAAAAUAGAUAGGUUUGAAAACCCGGUCGGGCAUUCACUUAAAGAAGAUAGCAGGUCGAGAUUAAAAAUGUUGACUUGAAACUGAGUCGAGGUCAAAUUCACGAUAAAAGAAUAUUUAGAAAACAAAAGAAAUAAAUAAAUUCAAGUGAACUAGUCAGUUCUUAUUAUAAACUGAACGAGAAUAGUUACUCAAGCACUACAAAAUUGAAAGUUUGGAGAUUCAAAUGUUGAAAUUAUACGUAUCAAAUUUGAAUUUGGAGAUUAUUUUUAUGAAAUUCGAAAGUUGAUUAAUACAUUGGUCUAUAGUCGUCGUGGCAAGUAUCAUGCACUUUCGAUAUACUUUUAUUAGUACUUUUCAUCAUUGAAUAAUUAUAAAUUUUCUCGAAGUUGUGAAAUAUCUGAAUUAAUUGAUCCACCGGAAUAAAUAUGAAGUUCAAAAAUAAAUUCUUUAAAUCUUUCAAGGUAAGUGCUUAUAAAUUUAAAUGCAGCCACAACUUUAGAGAAAUUUAUAAAUAAAAUGUAAGAUAAUUUUACAUGAUAAUAUAUUUAAUAAGUUGUUGAUUACAUUCAUUUUAAAUUAGAAAAGUUAUUGUAAUCAAAUCAAAUAUGUUUGUGUUUGAUUUUGAUUAUUCGAUCAUAUUCGGUAGAAGUUUUAUUAUCCGAGUUAUUAAUGGCUCUAGUUACUUCACCCAUGAAUAAAGGGACUCAACGUGCGAUUUUUCAAAGUCGUGUGUUUGCUAUAAUGUGCAGCAGUUAUUAACAAGAUCAUCAAGUACAAAUAAUCGAAAGCUCCAAAAAAGGUAUACAAAAAUUGGUCGAAUCGAAUUUUAUACAGUGUGUGACUAUUAUGUAAAAACACUAACGCAGCAGCAAUCAGUAUAAACACUCUUGCUAUAGCAUUAGAAUUGGUAUUUGGUUCGAUAAAACGUAUCAAUCAACACUAACCGACACCAAAUCCGUCGUAAAAGCAGCAUUGCUUUUCUCGUAUGAGACCAUAAGUUGUGGAAUAGCUCUUCGCUGGCAAUGAACUUCGAUAGAUUUUUCAGAAUCUGUCACUUUCACACACACUGCUUGCUGGAGAUUGUAUUGGUUAGAUUUGGCAUUUCCUGAUAGUCAUCCGAUUCAGCCUCCUCGUCUGAGGAUAGGAAAGAUGGCCCCAUCCAUGACUUAAAACCUUCCUUAACACGUCUCUCCACCUGUGGCGUGACUUCCACUGGAUUUAUUUCGAGCAUUUCCAACCCAAUAUUCCUUCCUGCAAAGUCAUUCUCGUCAGGAAAUACAGCUGUUUUUCUUCUUAGCAAGAAGGCGGUUCCUCCGUAUAGAACUACCAGCCCCCAUGAUGCGAUUUCAUAGCACCAGAACAACGGCAAUGAGCAGCUGCUACCAAGCGUGAGGAGAGUUGAGCCAAAAAUUAGUGCAAGAAGACCAAAAAUGAUGGCAAACGUGGCAUUUAGGAUGGAUAGACAGCGUACACCUCCUGUAGAUGAUAGAAGUUUUUGCAAAAACUCCAGAUGAGAACUCAUGCUGAAAUGAUGAAUCGCAAGAAGAAGACAUUACACAACUACAAAACAAUAGAAUAAAACAAUUGAUAUUCUUGAAGCCUCUUAACCCUUCUGUAAGCCUAAUGUUUUUCUAACCAAAUAAUUGACAGCUUUAGUUAUCUUCUAAAUUAUAUUUAGUGUUGACGUGCUUUGUAAAAGUUAAUGAUUUUGAGUUUGGAAUCCAUGACUGUUAGCACAGCCAGUAUAACCACCUUAACAUGUUAUCCUUGAGUACAGGUGCUACUCAAAGUAGACAAGAACAAUUGGACAACUACAGUGGACUAUGUGGUUGAAUUUCAAUAUGAUGCAACCUACAAUCUGGGUUACAAUACUUUAACCCACGAACUUCGCGUGCUCAACGAUGCAAGAAACAAACAGAUAUACCACAACUUUCACCCCUUAAAUUUCAAAAGUACAAUGCCACGAUCCUCACAUUAAGUAAAACAUAUAGCCCGAUUGAAUAUGGAGAGCAUAAUUUGAUUAGAGUUCAGCAAUUUUAACCUUCGAAAUCUAGAGUGCAAUGGCCUCUGCUGCUUUAAAUAAAUUAAAAUCCACCAAAAGAAACAUGCCCCGCAACUGUGAUGCACAAAAACAUAGACUGCAAUAUUCAUUCUAGAAAAUCCAGUAACAUAAGAAAGGUAGGGUCAAAAUAACAUCUAGUACCUCUUCUAGAAGCACAGUAAUUAUUCUCAACCACCUUCAAGCAUAUGUGUUUUGCAGGAGCAGCACGGACAACGGUAAUUCCUGCAGGGAAGUUGGAAUACAUUAUGUCUGAAACCAAAAAAUAAAAUUAUGAUUAUAUUCACCACAAACAAGAAGAGUUGAGCGCACUUCACAUGAAGUCAAAGGAACCAGAAAAUCAAAUUGAUGAAGGUAAAGUUGUAUACCACACCCGUUUGGUUUGCAGAAUUAUCUAUUAUGGAAAGGUCAGGUAUUCCCAUUCUAUUUUUACUAAUAAGGAAAAUGCAUCCCCUAUAAUAUUGUUUGUGAAAAAUCAUGGAAACUCAUUAACUACAUUUAAGUUAAGGAAUACCUUUUCUGGGAAUUUGGAUAACCUAUAAAUAAGACCAAGUUGACCAACUCCAUAAAUGUCCUCAGGCGUCCCCUGUUUUCUCUUCCACCCCCUGCUCACCUUCACAGUUCCUCACCACCCUAUUCCUGUCCGCCAGUGGAGACCACUUGACCACCAUCCCUGCACAUGCCAUCCUCUAAACACAUAAUGAAUGGUCCCACCCUUCUCUAAAUAAUGUUGUGAAUUAGAUCCCCAUAAAUUUGAAAUGACCCCAAAAAAAGCCCUUGUGGAUUUGUUGGGGUGUGAUUCUCUUGAAUCACUCUUUCGUGCUUCCACUUGAUAUUUUCAGAUUUAGCCCUUGUUUGAUCCCCAUAAUUUCCAAAAUACAUUUUUGUCUCUCUUCUUCUCAACCACAUUUUCUUCAAUAAAAUAAUAUUGCACCCAAACCCAAAACUUUUUUCAUUUUUUAACUACACAUUCUCCAUCAAUCUUCCAUUCCAAAAUGCAUUCUUGAAUAAAAAUGGGACUCAAACAAGCUCUUAGUUAAUUGACUUGGAUUUUGAUGGCUUUUGUGACAAAAAGAACAUUUUGGCUUGAAUAAAAUUUGAUAGUUUUAAAAAUUUAGGAUGAUGAGAUGAUGGUUAGUAGCAGUUCAUGGAGGAAAGAGGUGAAAGUUUUAUUUAUUUUUUAUUUAUUUAUUUAUUUUCUCAGUGUGUGUGUGUGUGUGUAUAUAUAUAUAUAUAUAUAUAAGUUGAAAUGAUAAAAGUGAGUAUGUGGAAAAUUCAUCGCAAUAUGAUUGGCAAUUAAGCACCUAUUUGGUAUAACUAAAAAAUAGUUUUUAGUAUAUUUUGAUAAAAGUCGAUAAAAUAUGAUUAAAAGUUGUGGGUCACUUGAAAUGUUAACUUUAACUUUGACUUAAAUUUUUAUCGAAUUUAAAAUUAACGCCAAAGAGGAUUUAAGUAAUAUCCAUCAAUUUGGGAUAUGACAUGCAACGAAGUGUUGAUAUUUGAAACUAAAAUUGAAGUUUAGCUACUUGAAGAGGGUUAAUCGAAUUUUACUGAUCAAAUUGAGAUAAAUUAAAAUAUAGUAUUUCUAUUGAAAUUCCUAAAUGAUUGCAUAUGAAAUUUAUCUGAGUGGAGACCUUGAGAUCUGGUUAGUAGGAUAAUCAAUUCAGCUUUUGAAUGGAAUAAUUUUUAAUUCCAAUUCUUAUGUCCUAGUUUUGAAAUAAAAGGCAAAUGAAAAACUUCAAACGCUUAGAUGUAUAAUAUGAGCGCUGACAAUGUGGAAACCUGACCCGAAAAAGUGCUAACAGAUUAGAUGUAUAAUAUGAGUGCUCACAAUGUGGAAACUGUUGACCUGAAAAAGUGCUAACAGAUGUCGGGCUCUACUCGUGUCCACAUGAGCAAACUUAAAAACAUUUGAAGCGGAGAUUUGGUCAUAAAGUUGACGACGUUUAUGAACAUGGGAGAUGCUUCGGACACGUGGCGUAACUGUUUGAGCACUAAGGAUAAGAUCGAAGAUGAGAGUGAACGAACACAAUCACUAACACUUAAACCAAAGUAUAUGCGAUCCAAACUCGAGCAAAUUAAUAUCAAGAGAGAAAAAAUGUGAUAAUAAACAUAUAGAGUGUGUACAUAUAUUUUCCAAUCCUCUACAAUAUUACAAGAGUUGCUAUUUAUAGCAUUCAGGUCGAAGUGGUCACCAUUGGAUCAAAUCCACGUAGCUUCAUCUAAUUAGCCAAAAUCUCACAUCAAUCUGUCAUACAUUAAUUACAUUGACAAGAGGUUAGUCACCUUACAUUCCUAGGUUGAUUUUUCUGACACUUAUUAGUAAAAGCGUUACAUCAAUAAUUCCUAAAGAUACUUAUCAAACCUGCUUAAAGAAAGCAAGCACCUUGGUUUUAAGAAGAAGAGCUUUGGAUGUGAAGAGGUUCGAUUUUCAGGAGGAAGGGCUUCGACAAAUGAACCCUGGUUGGAGAUAGCACUUCAACUAUAGAGCAGGUCUUGUCGUUUCUUUAUUUUGAAUUGGUGACUGCCAUAUGUCUGGACAUAGUACCUCCACGUGGCUUUCAUUGGAAGCUUCGUAUAUGUGGAGUAACAACAAUUCCCCAAUUCUAUGUAUAGUCAUUUACGUGAUACAUGGACUUUUGUAUUAUGUUGAAAAAUUUUUGUAGGGGUGUUUUUUAAUCCCACAACAAUAUAUAUAGUUCCCCAAAUCUAAUUUGCAAAUAUUUAAAUGAAAAUUAGAGUUCGAAAGUCGAAUAUGGUGAAUAGUCAAAGUACUUCCAAAGUCAUUUAGUGAGGUACCUGGACAGGGCUAAUGUUCAUUUGGCCGAGAUUAUUAUUGUAUAAAUUUGAUCAUACCGAAGUUAUAAAUGUUGAAGAAGAGGUGGUACGCUUCAUCAAUUUGGAUGAAGUUGCAGGUAAUAAAGCUGAAGAGAUCUUACCAGUUCAAUGUUAGUGAGUACAAGGCAUUCUUAAUAAUUGUGCUUAUAUGAUUAGUUGUUUGUUGCACUUCCCAAAAAAGCGGUUGUAACAGUUCGAAUUCUCACACACGUAAUUGUCGUAGCAUUUAAUGCUUAAUGAUGGUUGUCAUGGACGCGUCUUUUGUGGUUCAGACUUGUUAGAGUGCAUGAAUCGGAAGCUAUGAUCUGGGCCUUUGAAGGCGAAAUGGUAGGUGCGAUGAGUGGCUCGGAUUUAAUUUCCAACGAAUGACCAGAUGAUCCGAAUUACCAUCCAACAGUUGGGAUUGAGCGCCUCUAUCUAUAAAAGAACAGUUUAGGACAAAAAUCACUUUUGCCUUCAUUAUUAAUUAGAAUUUGGAUUCUCAAAGAAUUUCCUCCAUGUUCUUCUCAUUUUUUUCCAAAUUUACCUCAAGUUUUCCUCUUACGAUUUUCGAUCAAUUUUAGCAGGUGUUUUCUAUCUAAUUUUGUAAGUACUCGAAAUUGUUGUAGUUAUUGAAGUAAUGGCCUUAUCAUCUUCUAAGAGGAAUAUAGAUUUUAGCAAAAUUUCCUACGAAUUGGGGGUUGAAAUUAUGAAUGCUGCCAACCUCAUUCGGGUAAUUAUGGUUGGGUAGAGUUGUUUGCCAAUAAAAGGGGUGGGUUAGGCAAGGAGACUUGGGGCCCACCAAAAUUCAAUCCAUAGUUUUCUGUGUCCUCCCUAGUGAUUCUUAGGGAAAAAUAUUGCAUCCCACAUGACAUAGAACACCUAGCCCUGCCCCAGAAGAUCAUGCCUAUUUUUCGAGGCCUGGAUGGGUCGUCAUUAAAAAGUUCAUUCUUAAGACAGGGUUUCAACCACCUUUACAUCCAUUCUUUAGAGCUGUCCUUAGGCUGUACAGGCUUGCUCCCACCUAGUUCAUUCCUAAUUUGUGGGCCCAACUAGUGGGAUCCUACUCUUUGUGGAAUGAGACCUCCCUAGAUGAAGACACACCUCUCUACGUUUUUCAAACUAUUCUUCGGCCUAGGUCUCUAGGGAAAGGAGACUCCAAGGGUUGGUAUUCUUUGUGUCCAUGGGGGUCACACUCCCCAUUCGUCAUAUGACUUUUUUCCUCCAUCAAAGGAUGGAAGGAGACGUUCUGGUUGAUGGGAAAAUGGCAAGUAUGUGAGGGAGACACCAUCCCCCAAUAUGAUAGUUCCCACCUCCUACUCAGAAGCUAUGCUGAUGAGUUGAAUUAAUGUGGAUCUUGACCUUGUAUGUGUUUACCUUUUGCAGGAUCUGUAGAUCGUUUUGAGCUUGGUAAAGUUGAGCUCGAGAUUAUUGAGGAUAUCUAACGACGUCCUGCUUUUUGGGGGAGUUCGAGAGAUAAUUAUUUUUCGACGGUUCUUUGAAGAAUUCAACUUCAUGGCUCCUGGAGGUACUUUUGUCUUUCUAGGAUGGUAAUUGUUUUGACAUUGUUCAUUUUUGUUGACCUAGGUGUCUUAUACUUUUUGGAGAAAACUUUGAAAAGAAAAGACAUCCUAUUCCUAACAUCGCUACCAUCCUUACAACUACCACCACAAUUGGGAGAAAGGAAUUGAAGCCCUCAUCUGUUGCUACCAAGUAGGUGAGGGACCACGUGGAGAGAUUAGCAAAGAGGCUGCUGGUCAAGACGGUGAUGAAAGACCUCCCAUUAAGGAUAAGGGGAGGAAUAAGAUGAAGGAGGUCACCAAAAAAAGCACAAAUUUUCUGCUACCGGAGAUGGUGGGCCUAUGGCCAACCCACCGCCUCUUCCGAAGUCCCCCCCUGUUGGGGAGAAGUUGAUGACAACAUCUAUUGCUGUGGUCAAGAAGGCCCGAAAGAGGCCAAUUAUCGUGGAGCACCUAAAGCAAGAAUCCUCGAAGAGGGAGAGGCCAUCAAGUGGGACCUCUGCUACUGAUUCAAGUCCUCGCCCUAACUUGUCAUUUCACAAUGGGGAGACGUGUUGGCCUCGGAGGUUUUGUCGAAGUUACCACCAGAGUUUCAAACUGUAAUAUCUACUUUUCACAAGUAUUGGAUAGAUCGUUUGUAGUCCUUCAUGGAGACUAGUGAUUGGGUGGACAUUUUCACCACAAUGGUAAGCCAAUCUAUGAGGGGCGUUUGGGGCCGCUAUAGAGCCGGAGACCCUAUUUAAAAACCUUCAGAAUAAAAAUAAAGAAUUCACAAAUAAGAUCUCCAAGGCCGAAAAAGUAGCUACAAAGGCGGAAGUUGAGGUGGAGGCUGUGAAGAAAUAGCAUGCUGAAGAGUCUGUGAAGCUCGCCUCUACCUUAGCAGAAAUUGAAAACUUGAAAAAGGAAGUCCACUUGCGUUAGAGUGAAAUGCCUUCCAUGAUGAAGCGGGUGGAGACUUCUGAUUCUCACUGAAGGCUAGCUGUUGAAGCCCUGAAGGCAUCUAAUAAAGAGAAUGUAGCUCUAAAUGAGUAGGUGGAGGAGUUAAACUCUAGAGUGUUGGGCUUAACGAAGGAGGUGGAGAUGGCAAAGAAACAGGCUGAAUCUACUGAUAGUGAGGUUGAAAAGUGUUACAUAGCCAACUUUCAUCUCAUCAAGGCGUACCAAAGUUUCGCGAAGUAUUGCGAAGGUACGCCUAAAUCGAGAUGGUGGAGUGGAUUGAAGCCAACUUCCAAACCUUCAAUACCUCUGAACUGAUAUAUGAAUUCCCGUAAGAAGGAUAAGAACCUCAAAAUCUGAUGUAGAGUAGCCAGGUAUUAGAAAUCGAAACGAAGCCAAACCCCUUCACCCGUCUCUUGCAUUAUUUAUAUUUCGUCCGACUGUUGGAGUGCAAAUGUUUGCCGGAUAAUUUUUUCGACCAGUGGCCUUUGCCUUCUAAUGGAGUUGUUUGAGUGUGCUGGUGAUGCCCACAUGAAGAAGAUGAAGUCGGGAUUCUAUUAACACAUUUUUUGAGGUCAAUAGAAACAAUAGCUUAAUUUAUAAGUUUACUCCAGACUUAUCAUUGUAAUGAUCUCAACCGACGAGAAAAUAUUCACAUAACCAAUAAUAAGUUUCCAAUGUCUACGAGUGUAAAAAAAUUGAAAAAUCUACAAUCCCAACAUUGUCUCUUUCAGUCUAUCCUUUCGUACAGUCCUACCAUGUGUUAAUCCCCCCAUUGUCUUCUUAUUAGGGUGGGUCCAACAAAAUUUCUAAUCAUGCAAAGACAUUAAUGUUAUUGUCUUUCCCUUGUCAAGGAUUAAUUGUUGGGAGAUUAUCGCUUCAAAUAUGAUUUUGUAUAAAUAGGAAAUAGUUAAUAUUUAAUUCAACGUUUUUCUUAGUUUACAAGUUAAAUUCUCAAGGUCCUUCGACAAAAUUUUUGCUAAUCUUUGGACACAUUGUUUUCAACAAAAUCUCAACACAUACGUAGCCUUGGAUUGGUUCAACCAUAAAACCUAAUUAAAGUUUUAAAGUCAAUAAUUAAUUUUGAUUUACAUUUUAAAAGAUUCACAACUUUUCAACAACACAUUCCAUUAUUUUUUGUCAAAAUCUAUAAAAAUCUAUUUCUCAUCUAAGUCAAACAAGAACUUUACCUUUUUUAAAAAAAUAAAUAAAUUAACUUUUAUAUUCGUCAAACUUCAAUUUUAACACCACAUUUAGCCCUCGUUUGAACCACAUUAUUGUAAAAAUGAGAAUGAAAAAUAUAAUUGUUAUAGGCUCCAUACAAAAGAUAAAAAGUCAAAUAUGAUGAUUUGAUUUGAUGGAUAACGGUCAUAUUUUUCAUUUUAAUGAGAAAAUAAUAAGACUCAAACAGAGCUAAUAAUAUCUAUAAUUUAUAUCAAAUUUUCGAAAAUAAUUUCAUUCAUUUUUAUCAAAAUUUGAUAUAAUGUUCAUCAUGAGCUUUAUUACAUAGCUUCUAAGAAUUCGUUUAAUUGCCAAUAUAUUUCAUUAAAAAUGUGUUUUUCUAUCCAAAUACCUACUUUUGUGCUGUUUAAUUGCCAUUUUUUUCAUGGAGAAAUUUUCCUACUUUUGGUCACAUAGCCAUAUUUUUCUCAAAAUUAAGGAAAAUAUUUUCUUUAGAGGAAACAGAAUUUUAUAUUCUAGGAAAUUCACUUUCUCUCUCUCUCUCUCAUUUAUCCAUUCUCUCUCAUCUACCUACCAAUAAAAAAAUGAAUAAGUAUAAUAUUUUCUAGGUGAAAAAUUAAAUCAAUCAAACAUAUUUAAUUGUCAAUUUCCUUGUAAAAAAAUUCUAGACAAUUGAAUUACCUAAAAUUUAUUUUAUUUUCAUAUAAAUUUUAUGCUUACAAUCAAACACAUCCUAAAAUUAAAAGACUAAAAGUGCGCAUGACAAUACCUAAAUUAAUCCAUCUUAUCAAUUUAUUCUUAAUAUGUCUUAAAAGUGAUGUAAAGAUGACAGAGAGGGAGAAAGCUACACGUUUCCUAAAUUGAAUUAUAGAAAUUAUUAAAUUAAAGUGAAAUAUACGCAAUUUAGGACUAAACAACUCUUAUACGAUAAGAAUUGAUUUUAUUAAGAAAACUUAAAAGUCAAGGUGAAUUUUUUAAAAAUUUGAAAAUAUUAUUAUAUUUAAUAAAUAAAAAGAGUAAAUGAAAAAAAUAAAUAAAAAAUACAUCCUCAUGGUUCAUGCUAACCUACCAAGGUGAAGAAGGAAAGUCAAUAAGAACAUUUUCAAUGGAGUGGUGAAAUGCACAAAAAUGUAUCUCAUCAUCUGAAAAUAUUUAGAGCCUGUUUGUGAGUGAUUUUGAAAAUUGAUUUUUGGAUCGUUAGGAGAAAAGUGAAGUCCACUUGUAAGAGAAGAAGUCAAAUAUGACGAUUGAAAUAGUGAAAUAACGAUCGAAAAAUCAAUUUUUUGGGUGAAAAAAUCGCUCCCCAACAGUGCCUUAAUUGAGAAGAAAAAUGGUGGAGGAUGUGGAGGUGAACUAGACGUUAUCGAUUUAAUUUUUGUAAUUUAUCUUCAUUGGGCCUAUACACAAUUCAAAUUAGAUCGAUUUCGGACCCAACCCCAGACCAACUUGGUCAAUUUUGAUAAAUUUUUACUCAAAUCAAUUCAAUUCAAUUGGUUUGGUUAAUCGAUUUGGAGAUAUCCAAAUUUUGGCACUCAUUAAAAUAAUAAUUUAUUUUUCUCCCUUUCUAUCAACUAUACAUUCUCCAAUAAAAUAAUAUUACAUGUAAAUUCCAAAAAUUAUAAUUUUAAAUAGCGGGAGCCAAACGGGGCUAAAAACAAAAAAUUGCCUGCCUAAAUAAUCUCUCAGCUUCUGUGUUUCUUAUAUUCGUGAAAAUUGAACAAAACUUAUCUAAAUUUCUUUCAUAACUUCGCACAUAUUACAAGUGUUUUGCAAAUCUUUCUUGGUUUCAAACAGUUGCCCGACCUGCAAGUCCUCAUCAUCGGGAGCCACACGGGAAGAAUUCGAGGACGGUCCACUUGUUCCAACCUGUGAGCUCCCACCAGGCUCGUGUCUUUGUCGGGAUAAAGCAAUCAAAUUCUCAUUUGUAAAGUCGUUUAUGUUCUCAUUGUCUUCAACUGUUGACGGAAUUCUGCGCGUAACAGCGACGUCACAAUCAGAAGCAACUGUCUCAGGAAUACCCACAUCAUCCGCAGGAACUAUCUCCACUGUCUCCCAAAAACCUCGAUCAUUGUUAUCCGCCCUAUCCGAAUCUUCACGUUCACCUUCGAUAACAUCCUUCGUAAUUAAAGUCACACCAAGAACAGUCGGAGUCCGAUGCAUUUUAUUCAAUUCUAAUAGAUAAUUCAAUUCAGCAUCAUUAGUAACGAAUACCGGUGGCAUCGGAAUGGAUGAAUCCCCAUAACCGUUGAAUAGAUAUCUCAAUUGCAUAUCGUAUUGAGAUUGAUCGACAUUCAGCUUAUUUUGCAAAUCGUGGUACAUUUCUAAAUAUGGUGUACUCUCUGUUACGGGAAUUGCAAUACAACCACGUAUGUCACUCGUCCAUCUCCAUUCCCACCGAUUAUUAUCAUUUAAUUCGAAAUCACCGAAAUAACACACGGGGAUUAUCAUAUCUGCAUGAGGAAAUGGUUUUAAUCAACUUCAAAUAAUUAUAAGAAAUAAAAAGGCAAAAAAUCAACUGCAGCGAAAGCUGUUUAACAGCCGUUUAACGGCCGACUGUUAGGCUGUUAAACAGUCGAACAGCCGGCUGUUUUCGGCUGUUUUACAGCCGGCUGUUGGAUAUUUAACAGCCGGCUGUUUCCCGGCUGUUUCAGACUAUUUCCGACUGUUUGUUAAGUUAUACCAGUUUGGCAUAGGAGAAUACCGUUCUAAAAACGAAAUAAAGCAUGCGUAAUUUAAACGUAAGUUAUACAUCCGUUUAAUUUUUUUUUUUGAUAGGUUCUGUUAAAAAAAAUCUAUGUCGACAUAAAAUUUCUCUUUUUAACGUAUACUAAUUUACUUAAAACGAAAUUAAACAUGAUUAAAUGUACUUACCGAAUUGAAGUAAUUGAUGUGAAAAAAAAUUUCAGCUUCAACGUUCCAAAAUUCUUCUAGAUUUUGAGGUUCAAACAGAUGAAAAGAUGAGAAUUUUUUCUGUGUUGGAAGCUCGUUUUGAAGUUUUUAUAAGUGGAGAAAUGUUUGAUUUUCAAUUAUUAAGUAAAAGGGUAGUAUAGUCCUUUCAACAAUAUAUUGUUUUGUAAUUGUACAAAAUAUUUAAGGGCAUCUUUGUCUUUUACCAUACAAGAGGCCAAUGUCAUAAUAUUCUUGAUUUUGGAAGUCAAACUGAAAUUUUGCUCCUUUGACUGGGUCAAAAUUAAAAGUACCCCUUGAAACUUCGUCUUUGUAAAGCUUCUCAAGUGAUUUUCUUGUAAUAAAAUUGUAAUGUGAUCCCUUUGAUAUCAAUAAUUGCAGAACUUCCCCAUAUAUUUCUUAGAUUUUCUAAUUUAGUCCAUUGUUAUUCCUUUUUAUUUUUCUUUGUUUAUUAGACGAGAAUGUCGUCGAGUGAAGUGACGUAUUGGUUCAAUUUGAUCUCAAACACUAUUACGUGGAAUCUACUUCUAAAUCAAUCAAUCACGAAAUUAAAAUUAAAUUAAAUUAAUUAAUUUAAAAAUAAACAUUUGAUUCUCUUUAUAAAUAUUCUUAUUAUUAUAAGAUGAGAAAGAUCAAAAAGAAUAAAACGAUGAAUAAAGUGUGCAUGUACUUUGAAAUGCGUUGAUGACUUGAUGCCUUGUUGGAUACCAUUUAAUUGGUUGAGAUAAUUUGAUCUGCAGCCACUGAACUUUGAAAAUUUUAAUUUGGUCACUAAAGUUUGAUUACUAUCACAUUCAGUUACCAAUUGCCCUCCAAAGUCCAAAUUGAAGAAAGAUUUUGUUUCUCAUUUUUAUAAGAAUGAAAAUAAAAAAUAUAGUCGUUAUAGGCUCCACACAAUAGAUAGAAAUUCAAAUUUGAUGGCUUGAUAUGAUGGAUAAUGAUCAUAUUUUUUAUUUUAAUGGGAAACAAACGGGGGCUAACAUUAUACCAUAAUCGCUACUUCACAUAAUCACAAUGCGGCACUCUAGAAACAUAAAGAGUAAAUUGAAGAUUAUGACAAUGUCUUUAAAUUUAAAAGUUAUUAUAAGUUAUUUUUCUAUUAAAACAUUACGAUACUAUAUGUGUGUGUGUGUGUGUGUGUGUGUGUCUAUAUAUAUAUAUAUAUAUAUAUAUAUAUAUAUAUAUAUAUAUAUAUAUANNNNNNNNNNNNNNNNNNNNNNNNNNNNNNNNNNNNNNNNNNNNNNNNNNNNNNNNNNNNNNNNNNNNNNNNNNNNNNNNNNNNNNNNNNNNNNNNNNNNNNNNNNNNNNNNNNNNNNNNNNNNNNNNNNNNNNNNNNNNNNNNNNNNNNNNNNNNNNNNNNNNNNNNNNNNNNNNNNNNNNNNNNNNNNNNNNNNNNNNNNNNNNNNNNNNNNNNNNNNNNNNNNNNNNNNNNNNNNNNNNNNNNNNNNNNNNNNNNNNNNNNNNNNNNNNNNNNNNNNNNNNNNNNNNNNNNNNNNNNNNNNNNNNNNNNNNNNNNNNNNNNNNNNNNNNNNNNNNNNNNNNNNNNNNNNNNNNNNNNNNNNNNNNNNNNNNNNNNNNNNNNNNNNNNNNNNNNNNNNNNNNNNNNNNNNNNNNNNNNNNNNNNNNNNNNNNNNNNNNNNNNNNNNNNNNNNNNNNNNNNNNNNNNNNNNNNNNNNNNNNNNNNNNNNNNNNNNNNNNNNNNNNNNNNNNNNNNNNNNNNNNNNNNNUGUGUGUGUGUGUGUGUGUGUGUGUGUGUGUGUAUAUAUAUAUAUAUAUAUAUAAGUUGAAAUGAUAAAAGUGAGUAUGUGGAAAAUUCAUCGCAAUAUGAUUGGCAAUUAAGCACCUAUUUGGUAUAACUAAAAAAUAGUUUUUAGUAUAUUUUGAUAAAAGUCGAUAAAAUAUGAUUAAAAGUUGUGGGUCACUUGAAAUGUUAACUUUAACUUUGACUUAAAUUUUUAUCGAAUUUAAAAUUAACGCCAAAGAGGAUUUAAGUAAUAUCCAUCAAUUUGGGAUAUGACAUGCAACGAAGUGUUGAUAUUUGAAACUAAAAUUGAAGUUUAGCUACUUGAAGAGGGUUAAUCGAAUUUUACUGAUCAAAUUGAGAUAAAUUAAAAUAUAGUAUUUCUAUUGAAAUUCCUAAAUGAUUGCAUAUGAAAUUUAUCUGAGUGGAGACCUUGAGAUCUGGUUAGUAGGAUAAUCAAUUCAGCUUUUGAAUGGAAUAAUUUUUAAUUCCAAUUCUUAUGUCCUAGUUUUGAAAUAAAAGGCAAAUGAAAAACUUCAAACGCUUAGAUGUAUAAUAUGAGCGCUGACAAUGUGGAAACCUGACCCGAAAAAGUGCUAACAGAUUAGAUGUAUAAUAUGAGUGCUCACAAUGUGGAAACUGUUGACCUGAAAAAGUGUCAACAGAUGUCGGGCUCUACUCGUGUCCACAUGAGCAAACUUAAAAACAUUUGGAGCGGAGAUUUGGUCAUAAAGUUGACGACGUUUAUGAACAUGGGAGAUGCUUCGGACACGUGGCGUAACUGUUUGAGCACUAAGGAUAAGAUCGAAGAUGAGAGUGAACAAACACAAUCACUAACACUUAAACCAAAGUAUAUGUGAUCCAAACUCGAGCAAAUUAAUAUCGAGAGAGAAAAAAUGUGAUAAUAAACAUAUAGAGUGUGUGCAUAUAUUUUCCAAUCCUCUACAAUGUUACAAGAGUUUCUAUUUAUAGCAUUCAGGUCGAAGUGGUCACCAUUGGAUCAAAUCCACGUGGCUUCAUCUAAUUAGCCAAAAUCUCACAUCAAUCUGUCAUACAAUAAUUACAUUGACAAGAGGUUAGUCGCCUUACAUUCCUAGGCUGAUUUUUCUGACACUUAUUAGUAAAAGCGUUACAUUAAUAAUUCCUAAAGAUACUUAUCAAACCUGCUUAAAGAAAGCAAGCACCUUGGCUUUAAGAAGAAGAGCUUUGGAUGUGAAGAGGUUCGAUUUUCAGGAGGAAGGGCUUCGACAAAUGAACCCUGGUUGGAGAUAGCACUUCAACUAUAGAGCAGGUCUUGUCAUUUCUUUAUUUUGAAUUGGUUGACUGCCAUAUGUCUGGACAUAGUACCUCCACGUGGCUUUCAUUGGAAGCUUCGUAUAUGUGGAGUAACAACAAUUCCCCAAUUCUAUGUAUAGUCAUUUACGUGAUACAUGGACUUUUAUAUUAUGUUGAAAAAAUUUUGUAGGGGUGUUUUUUAAUCCCACAACAAUAUAUAUAGUUCCCCAAAUCUAAUUUGUAAAUAUUUAAAUGAAAAUUAGAGUUCGAAAGUCGAAUAUGGUGAAUAGUCAAAGUACUUACCAAAGUCAUUUAGUGAGGUACCUGGACAGGGCUAAUGUUUAUUUGGCCGAGAUUAUUAUUGUAUAAAUUUGAUCAUACCGAAGUUAUAAAUGUUGAAGAAGAGGUGGUACGCUUCAUCAAUUUGGAUGAAGUUGCAAGUAAUAAAGCUGAAGAGAUCUUACUAGUUCAGUGUUAGUGAGUACAAGGCAUUCUUAAUAAUUGUGCUGAUAUGAUUAGUUGUUUGUUGCACUUCCCAAAAAAGCGGUUGUAACCGUUCGAAUUCUCACACACGUAAUUGUCGUAGCAUUUAAUGCUUAAUGAUGGUUGUCAUGGACGCGCCUUUUGUGGUUCAAACUUGUUAGAGCGCAUGAAUCGGAAGCUAUGAUCUGAGCCUUUGAAGGCGAAAUGGUAGGUGCGAUGAGUGGCUCGGAUUUAAUUUCCAACGAAUGACCAGAUGAUCCGAAUUACCAUCCAACAGUUGGGAUUGAGAGCCUCUAUCUAUAAAAGAACAGUUUAGGACAAAAAUCACUUUUGCUUUCAUUAUUAAUUAGAAUUUGAAUUCUCAAAGAAUUUCCUCCAUGUUCUUCACAUUUUUUUUCCAAAUUUACCUCAACUUUUCCUCUUACGAUUUUCGAUCAAUUUUAGCAGGUGUUUUCUAUCUAAUUUUGUAAGUACUCGAAAUUGUUGUAGUUAUUGAAGUAAUGGCCUUAUCAUCUUCUAAGAGGAAUAUAGAUUUUAGCAAAAUUUCCUAUGAAUUGGGGGUUGAAAUUAUGAAUGCUGCCAACCUCAUUCGGGCAAUUAUGGUUGGGUAGAGUUGUUUGCCAAUAAAAGGGGUGGGUCAGGCAAGGAGACUUGGGGCCCACCAAAAUUCAAUCCAUAGUUUUCUACGUCCUCCCUAGUGAUUCUUAGGGAAAAAUAUUGUAUCCCACAUGACAUAGAACACCUAGCCCUGCCCCAGAAGAUCAUGCCUAUUUUUUGAGGCCUGGAUGGGUCGUCAUUAAAAAGUUCAUUCUUAAGACAGGGUUUCAACCACCUUUACAUCCAUUCUUUAGAGCUGUCCUUAGGCUAUACAGGCUUGCUCCCACCUAGUUCAUUCCUAAUUUGUGGGCCCAACUAGUGGGAUCCUACUCUUUGUGGAAUGAGACCUCCCUAGAUGAAGACACACCUCUCUACGUUUUUCAAACUAUUCUUCGGCCUAGGUCUCUAGGGAAAUGAGACUCCAAGGGUUGGUAUUCUUUGUGUCCAUGGGGGUCACACUCCCCAUUCGUCAUAUGACUUUUUUCCUCCAUCAAAGGAUGGAAGGAGACGUUCUGGUUGAUGGGAAAAUGGCAAGUAUGUGAGGGAGACACCAUCCCCCAAUAUGAUAGUUCCCACCUCCUACUCAGAAGCUAUGCUGAUGAGUUGAAUUAAUGUGGAUCUUGACCUUGUAUGUGUUUACCUUUUGCAGGAUCUGUAGAUCGUUUUGAGCUUGGUAAAGUUGAGCUCGAGAUUAUUGAGGAUAUCUAACGACGUCCUGCUUUUUGGGGGAGUUCGAGAGAUAAUUAUUUUCCGACGGUUCUUUGAAGAAUUCAACUUGAUGGCUCCUGGAGGUACUUUUGUCUUUCUAGGAUGGUAAUUGUUUUGACAUUGUUCAUUUUUGUUGACCUGGGUGUCUUAUACUUUUUGGAGAAAACUUUGAAAAGAAAAGACAUCCUACUCCUAACAUCGCUACCAUCCUUACAACUACCACCACAAUUGGGAAAAAGGAAUUGAAGCCCUCAUCUGUUGCUACCAAGUAGGUGAGGGACCACGUGGAGAGAUUAGCAAAGAGGCUGCUGGUCAAGACGAUGAUGAAAGACCUCCCAUUAAGGAUAAGGGGAGGAUUAAGAUGAAGGAGGUCACCAAAAAAAGCACAAAUUUUCUGCUACCGGAGAUGGUGGGCCUAUGGCCAACCCACCGCCUCUUCCGAAGUCCCUGUUGGGGAGAAGUUGAUGACAACAUCUAUUGCUGUGGUCAAGAAGGCCCGAAAGAGGCCAAUUGUCGUGGAGCACCUAAAGCAAGAAUCCUCGAAGAGGGAGAGGCCAUCAAGUGGAACCUCUGCUUCUGAUGCAAGUCCUCGCCCUAACUUGUCAUUUCACAAUGGGGAGACGAGUUGGCCUCGGAGGUUUUGUCGAAGUUGCCACCAUAGGUUCAAACUGUAAUAUCUACUUUUCACAAGUAUUGGAUAGAUCGUUUGUAGUCCUUCAUGGAGACUAGUGAUUGGGUGGACAUUUUCACCACAAUGGUAAGCCAAUCUAUGAGGGCGUUUGGGGCCGCUAUAGAUGCGGAGACCCUAUUUAAAAACCUUCAGAAUAAAAAUAAAGAAUUCGCAAAUAAGAUCUCCAAGGCCGAAAAAGUAGCUACAAAGGCGGAAGUUGAGGUGGAGGCUGUGAAGAAAUAGCAUGCUGAAGAGUCUGUGAAGCUCGCCUCUGCCUUAGCAGAAAUUGAAAACUUGAAAAAGGAAGUCCACUUGCGUUAGAGUGAAAUGCCUUCCAUGAUGAAGCGGGUGGAGACUUCUGAUUCUCACUGAAGGCUAGCUGUUGAAGCCCUGAAGGCAUCUAAUAAAGAGAAUGUAGCUCUAAAAGAGUAGGUGGAGGAGUUAACCUCUAGAGUGUUGGGCUUAACGAAGGAGGUGGAGAUGGCAAAGAAACAGGUUGAAUCUACUGAUAGCGAGGUUGAAAAGCGUUACAUAGCCAACUUUCAUCUCAUCAAGGCGUACCAAAGUUUCGCGAAGUAUUGCAGAGGUACGCCUAAAUCGAGAUGGUGGAGUGGAUUGAAGCCAACUUCCAAACCUUCAAUACCUCUGAAUUGAUAUAUGAAUUCCUGUAAGAAGGAUAAGAACCUCAAAAUCUGAUGUAGAGUAGCCAGUUAUUAGAAAUCGAAACGAAGCCAAACCCCUUCACCCGUCUCUUGCACUAUUUAUAUUUUGUCCGACUGUUGGAGUGCAAAUGGUUGCCGGAUAAUUUUUUCGACCAGUGGCCUUUGCCUUCUAAUGGAGGUGUUUGAGUGUGCUGGUGAUGCCCACGUGAAGAAGAUGAAGUGGGGAUUCUAUUAACAUAUUUUUUGAGGUCAAUAGAAACAAUAUCUUAAUUUAUAAGUUUACUCCAGACUUAUCAUUGUAAUGAUCUCAACCGACGAGAAAAUAUUCACAUAACCAAUAAUAAGUUUCCAAUGUCUACGAGUGUAAAAAAAUUGAAAAAUCUACAAUCCCAACAUUGUCUCUUUCAGUCUAUCCUUUCGUACAGUCCUACCAUGUGUUAAUCCCCCCAUUGUCUUCUUAUUAGGGUGGGUCCAACAAAAUUUCUAAUCAUGCAAAGACAUUAAUGUUAUUGUCUUUCCCUUGUCAAGGAUUAAUUGUUGGGAGAUUAUCGCUUCAAAUAUGAUUUUGUAUAAAUAGGAAAUAGUUAAUAUUUAAUUCAAGGUUUUUCUUAGUUUACAAGUUAAAUUUUCAAGGUCCUUCGACAAAAUUUUUGCUAAUCUUUGGACACAUUGUUUUCAACAAAAUCUCAACACAUACGUAGCCUUGGCUUGGUUCAACCAUAAAACCUAAUUAAAGUUUAAGUUAAAGUUAAUAAUUAAUUUUGAUUUACAUUUUAAAAUAUUCACAACUUUUCAACCACACAUUCCAUUAUUUUUUGUCAAAAUCUAUAAAAAUCUAUUUCUCAUCUAAGUCAAACAAGAACUUUACCUUUUCUUUUUAAAAAAAUAAAUUAACUUUUAUAUUCGUCAAACUUCAAUUUUAACACCACAUUUAGCCCCCAUUUGAGUCACAUUAUUGCAAAAAUGAAAAUGAAAAAUAUAGUCGUUAUGGACUCCAUACAAGAGAUAAAAAAUCAAAUAUAAUGGUUUGAUUUGAUGAAUAACGGUCAUAUUUUUCAUUUUAAUGAGAAAAUAAUGAGACUCAAAUAGAGCUAAUAAUAUCUAUAAUUUAUAUCAAAUUUUCGAAAAUAAUUUCAUUCACUUUUAUCGAAAUUUGAUAUAAUGUUCAUCAUGAGCUUUAUUACAUAGCUUCUAAGAAUUCGUUUAAUUGCCAAUAUAUUUCAUUAAAAAUAUGUUUUUCUAUCCAAAUACCUACUUUUGUGCUGUUUAAUUGCCAUUUUUUUCAUGGAGAAAUUUUCCUACUUUUGGUCACAUAGCCAUAUUUUUCUCAAAAUUAAGGAAAAUAUUUUCUUUAGAGGAAACAGAAUUUUAUAUUCUAGAAAAUUCACUCUCUCUCUCUCAUUUAUCCACUCUCUCUCAUCUACCUACCAAUAAAAAAAUGGAUAAGUAUAAUAUUUUCUAGGUGAAAAAUUAAAUCAAUCAAACAUAUUUAAUUGUCAAUUUCCUUGUAAAAAAAUUCUAGACAAUUGAAUUACCUGAAAUUUAUUUUAUUUUCAUAUAAAUUUUAUGCUUACAAUCAAACACAUCCUAAAAUUAAAAGACUAAAAGUGCGCAUGACAAUACCUAAAUUAAUCCAUCUUAUCAAUUUAUUCUUAAUAUGUCUUAAAAGUGAUGUAAAGAUGACAGAGAGGGAGAGAGCUACACGUUUCCUAAAUUGAAUUAUAGAAAUUAUUAAAUUAAAGUGAAAUAUACGCAAUUUAGGACUAAACAACUCUUAUACGAUAAGAAUUGAUUUUAUUAAGAAAACUUAAAAGUCAAGGUGAAUUUUUUAAAAAUUUGAAAAUAUUAUUAUAUUUAAUAAAUAAAAAGAGUAAAUGAAAAAAAUAAAUAAAAAAUACAUCCUCAUGGUUCAUGCUAACCUACCAAGGUGAAGAAGGAAAAUCAAUAAGAACAUUUUCAAUGGAGUGGUGAAAUGCACAAAAAUGUAUCUCAUCAUCUGAAAAUAUUUAGAGCCUGUUUGUGAGUGAUUUUGAAAAUUGAUUUUUGGAUCGUUAGGAGAAAAGUGAAGUCCACUUGUAAGAGAAGAAGUCAAAUAUGACGAUUGAAAUAGUGAAAUAACGAUCGAAAAAUCAAUUUUUUGGGUGAAAAAAUCGCUCCCCAACAGUGCCUUAAUUGAGAAGAAAAAUGGUGGAGGAUGUGGAGGUGAACUAGACGUUAUCGAUUUAAUUUUUGUAAUUUAUCUUCAUUGGGCCUAUACACAAUUCAAAUUAGAUCGAUUUCGGACCCAACCCCAGACCAACUUGGUCAAUUUUGAUAAAUUUUUACUCAAAUCAAUUCAAUUCAAUUGGUUUGGUUAAUCGAUUUGGAGAUAUCCAAAUUUUGGCACUCAUUAAAAUAAUAAUUUAUUUUUCUCCCUUUCUAUCAACCAUACAUUCUCCAAUAAAAUAAUAUUACAUGUAAAUUCCAAAAAUUAUAAUUUUAAAUAGCGGGAGCCAAACGGGGCUAAAAACAAAAAAAUUGCCUGCCUAAAUAAUCUCUCAGCUUCUGUGUUUCUUAUAUUCAUGAAAAUUGAACAAAACUUAUCUAAAUUUCUUUCAUAACUUCGCACAUAUUACAAGUGUUUUUGCCCUGUGUCAACAAAUAAAUUAUACAUUCUCCAAUAAAAUAAUAUUACAUGUAAAUUCCAAAAAUUAUAAUUUUAAAUAGCGGGAGCCAAACGGGGCUAAAAACAAAAAAUUGCCUGCCUAAAUAAUCUCUCAGCUUCUGUGUUUCUUAUAUUCGUGAAAAUUGAACAAAACUUAUCUAAAUUUCUUUCAUAACUUCGCACAUAUUACAAGUGUUUUUGCCCUGUGUCAACAAAUAAAUGUUAGAAUUUGAAUAUAAAGGCGAUAUUAACCGGAGAAUGGCAAAGCUCACAAUAAUGUAACAUGUUUAUUCUGCUUAAUCCAUUGCCAUAAUGUCCAAACGACUAUAUUAUUUUUGUUUCUCUCUUAAUAUCACAACAAUUCACCUCGUCAGACUGCUUGACAUAAUUCUUAGCAGAAUGCCACGUAAAAAUUUUAUCAUUAAAUUAUUUUAAAUACAGUUAAUUUUUUUAUUAAAUUAUUUGCUGCCACCUCAAAUUAUGUCACUGCAUAUUUUAAAUUUCUUCUAUCAAAGUAGUAAAAAUCCAAAAGUGUUCAAUCUAAAUUUUAUAAGGAAAACAUUAACAUGACACCAAUUAAUUGAUACCGGGUUAGUGGCUAAAAAUUAAUUGAAUCGGUCGAAUUUUGGUUCAAACUGACCUAAAACGAUUCUACUCGGUCCAACUGAUUUUUCAUUGAAGGAUGUAUUCAUUUAAUUUUUUAUAAUUUAUCUUCAUUAAAUAACGUGCCUACUUAGUUCUUGUUUAAUUUUGUUAAAAAUUAAAAUUUUAAUAAAAAUUAUGAAUUUUAUAAAUUUCGUAAUUAAAAUUAAUUAUUAUUUUUUAGUCAAAAUAUACAAUGACUUAAUUUUUUAUAAUUUACCUCCACAUAUCUUUUUAUCUUUUGUUUGAUUCUCAUUAUUUUUAAAAUAUAUUUUUCUCUUUUUUUUAAUCACAUAUAUUUUAAUAAAAUAAUUUACACAUAAAUUUAAUUUUUUCUUAUUUUUGAGCCACUCAUUCUCUAUUAAUCUAUUAUUUUAAAAUGCAAUCUUAACAAAAAUAAAAAAUAAUAAGGUUCAAAAGGCGCUAAAAGUAUACUCGUCCUUCCAUCCUUAUGUUGCUUGUCACACGAACAAAUAAUUGCGUCUGAGAUGCUCCAAACAUUCUUUUUCAAAUCAACACCAGCCGUCCGAUCUCCAAUAUUCGGCGGCAUCAAUCGCCUAACAAACCAAGAACUCGAGGCACAGUAUCCCUCCACGUGUCUUAAAUCAAUUGGUUAACAUCAAUUUUAAUAUUUAUAUCCUAGUUUUCCCCUCCCCCAAAUCAGCAAAAAAUAACAACAGAACCGGAAAAACUAGCCCCGGGUCUAUGGGAAUCAGGGGCCUUCCUUUUUCAUUUAUUUGUUUUUCCUUGAUUGAAAGUUGGGGAUUUUCCGGGGAUUUUUCCGGCAGAUUCGAUUGAGACUUCCGAUUGAUCUUCGGGGAGUGAGGAAUAUUGAGAGAAAGGUGAAACAAUGGUGAAUUCAAUGGUGGAAAGAGCGACGAGCGAUAUGCUCAUAGGUCCUGAUUGGGCUAUGAACAUCGAGAUCUGUGACAUUUGCAACCACGAUCCCGCGUAAUUGCAUCUACUCUCUUGUUUUCCACUUAAUUUAUCCAGAAUAGUUUGUUUACAAUGAAAUGAAAAAAAAAAAAAAAGGAAUUGAAAACGAUGCAUGUCUUUUAUGUAUAGAGUUUGAAGACUUUCUUUCAUAUUUUAAAAUUUUUAUGAUAUGGAAUUUUCGGGAAUUUCGGAUUUGUUUAAUUGUUCCUUGUUUUCUUGUAUUCUCUACAAAUAAAUAAGGAAAAGAACACUUUGUAGAAUAAUUAGAGUUUUCAAUUUUUAUUCGAGUGUAGUUUUACGUUUUCAUUUUUCAACAUUAUUGUAUUAUCAUGCUUAGCCGAAGUAACUAUUUUUACCGGUUAGUAAUUUAUGUAAACUACUGGUAUGUGUUUGUAGUCUAAAUCCCUACUUUCUUGAUGCCUAAAAUUUAACUCACUUGCAUGCUUCUGUUUUGACAAUUUUCAAUAUUGAGAAGUAGAAAAGUAUAAUUUCUUCCAAAUUUGUUCUGCAGACUUUGGCUUUACAAAAAGGAGUCGUCAAUAUGUUUAUAACUAGUACUAACGACAUUUACAUGCAACAUCCAUGUGUCUCUUAGUCGGACAAUAUAAGAUUGUUAAACUUGCUUUUUACCUGUAAGAUGUUGAUUGGCUAAGAUAUCAUUUUUGUUAAUUUUCUCUAAUAAUGAAAAAACCUGUUAUAUGUAUGCAUUUUGCUGGUAGCUUCACUUUAAUGUUGUCUGAUUUACGUAAUGAAAAUUCGAAAUCAUUGUUGUUAUUAUUCUCAUCAUCAUUACUUUCAACUUAUUGCGACUCUAUUUGUUUAUCAGUCAAGCAAAAGAUGUUGUAAAAGGUAUAAAGAAGCGUCUUGGUAGCAAAAAUGCAAAAGUCCAGCUCCUCGCCUUAACAGUAAGUUUGGCUUGUAUUUACUGAUUUAUGAGGCUGCUUCUAUUGCAUACAUAUCUGUUGUUUGAUUUACCUGCUUUGGUCAGCUGGAAGGCUUUGCCUUUUAUGAGUUACAUGGUAUUUUCUCUCAUGAACUGAAUUCUUAAUAAAUUUUUUUCUGGUCUUGGACCGUUAGAUUUUUGAGCUAUAAAACUUUUAUUUCUUAAGUAUCGAAUAACUUUUCUGCACGGGCAACCAAAGGAAGGACUUUGAGGCAUGGGUUCCUUACUUCCCAUCAUCUUUUAGCCUUCAUAUAUUCUGGUAUUUUCUGAUUGGCAUUAUGUGCUGUGGUAAACCAUUAUGAAGGAUCUGGAAGGCAAAACACGGGCCUUCUUAAUUAUGCUCUAAAAGUAUAAUUUUGGAGACUGCUGAUAAGCGAGGAACCACAUGAUGCUGUGGAGACAUAGCUAUGUAGGCCAUUGUCUGAGGAAAGGACAAAAUAGUGAAAGAUCUGGAAGAUCAAACAUGGACAAGUAGAAACUGGGUGGAAGAAUUUUCUUCACAUAUGAUUUGGAUAAAGCUUAGGGUGGAAUGGGGUUGCUUGUACUUCAUUCGGAUGAAGGUAGGGAACUAGAUGGGAGAUAGAUAGUGAAACACAGUGAUGCAUUCUGGCAUUCUAGUAUUUGUGAGACUGGAGAUGGAGAAAGGCUAGUGUCGGGCAAAGAGGGGAUUGAGUUUCCUCAUGGUUGCAUAGUUCCAUUGCGAUGCUCAAAAAGUCAACUUGUGAGCCUUUCUCAUGUUUGCGGUAGAGUAGAGCAUGGCUUGAAAUACAUAUGUUGUGCAUUUGGGAAAGAAAAGGUUAACUUGAUUUUUUUACCUUAACAAAAUGUUUAAAAAUGCUCAAUCGGGUACCAGUUCUUUUUUACUUGUAAACCUCAAGAUAGACCAAUAAAUAAUUCACAAGAAUAUAAAAAUACUAAAAUAUUGUUAUUAAUCAUAAAACCAUUUUUAAAAAAUCCAUAAUAAAGCAAGUUAACAAAAAUAAGUUUAACUAGCAAACAAACAUAAAAUAAAUCAAUAACAUAAUAAAAAAAUUCUCAAAAAGCUAAGGCCAGUUCCUAAAAAAAAGAAAAAAAGAAAAGAAAAAUGGGCAAACAUUUCGGCUGUCUCGAGGCUUACCCUUUUCGCCUCCCCAAGUUUACGUGUAAGUCUCACAAUUGGCACAUAACGGGUGAGAUUUUAUUUCAAACAAUGGUUUAACAUUUUUGGGGUCAUACAAAGAUGUGAGGAUUUGAUGGUUUUAAUAGUAGCUCUAUAGGAGAAGUAAGCCCUUGGUGGCCUUUAAUUUGAAGAAAAAAAAAACUAUGUUUUGAAUAGUAUUUUUUUGGAGAAUGUGUGGUUAAAAAGUAAGGAAAAACUUUGGGUUUAGUGUAGAACAUUUUAUUGUAUGAAUGUGUAAUUGAAAAUGAGUAUGAGAAAUAAAUUAAAUUAAAUUAAAGGCCACCAAACAGGGGCAUAUUUCCUUACAACUCUAGUGAACUCAACCUUAACCACUUGAAAUGCUCAUUAAUUUUGGUAAAGCAAUGGGGUUGUCAUUUCAUUUUCUAGAUGUACUAAUUUUUGGACAACAACUUGAUAUGAGUAUAUUUGUUCAAUGCCUCUCAAUAGUGCUCAAGUAAAUGAAGAGAUAACGUGGUUGGUUUUCAUUUCAUUUUUCUAGCUUUUGGAGACAAUUGUGAAGAACUGCGGGGACAUUGUCCAUAUGCAUGUUGCUGAAAAAGAUUUGCUUCAUGAGAUGGUGAAAAUUGUGAAGAAGAAGGUAAUUGAUUGCACUUACUAUCAACCACUUUUUGUUUACAUCUACUUGAGUUAUUAGUAUAAAUUGUUGCUGAUGCAUCUUUUAUUGCAGCCUGACUUUCGUGUAAAAGAGAAGAUUCUAAUUUUAAUAGAUACUUGGCAAGAAGCUUUUGGAGGACCAAGGGCAAGAUAUCCUCAAUACUUUGCAGCUUACCAGGAUUUGUUGGUACGGUUGCAAGGCGGUUCCUAUGUUUUGGUCCCAUUUUACCCUUUUGUGUCUAAUUAUUGUACAUUGAUUUUUAUUUUCUAUGUGUACAUUUUAUCAGCGUUUUGGAGCAGUAUUCCCUCAGAGAUCGGAGAGCUCAGCACCUGUUUUCACACCCCCACAAACACAUCCAUUGGCAUCACAACCACAAAAUAUUCGUAACCUGGAACCUAGGCAGAACGCAUCCGAGUCUUCUGUUUCUGAAUCUGAUAUAUGAACAGCGUAUAGUCAAGUUAGAAAUUUAGUUCUUCAAAAUAUUGCUUGUUUUCAACUUCUGUUAUUUUGUACACUUAAACGUAGUGUAACAAAUGACAUGACAUAUGGAUAAAAGAGAGGGGAUUGAUCAAUCGAGUCCCAGGUACACUGGUGGAUUUUAGUGGAUUUUAUCAUGUUGAGAGCUUUUGCUGAGCAUCUGUAAUUGGAGAAUCUGCACAAUCUGAAGAAAAUGCCUAUUUAGAAAGUAAGUGAAUUGAUUGACAUUUGAGAGCUUUUGCUGGCCUUUCCUUGAUAAAGUUACUGUCAAGGGACUAAUAAACCGGGCUUCUUUCUGUAUAAUCUAUCUUGAUAUCUUAUAAAAGGCAACUAUUUAUCUCUUCCGAAUUAAGCCAUAGGUUAGUUUGAAAUAUCAGUUCAGCAUUUACUACUUGAUUUUGCAAUCUCAAUUUAUGGUGGCGCUUUUGACUUCUUAGCGCAAGCUAUGCAGGCCUGUAUAAUCCGAACUCCAACAAUAAGGGCAUACGAUCCACUUUCUAGAUCCACUUUCUAGUCUGGAUUAGAUAUGUUAUUAAUAUCUGUUAUAAAUACAAAAUAUGUCUCAUUCUUGGUGGUUGGUAAAUUUGAAAUUAUUGUAUAACCUGGCAACAGAUCAUACUUGUGAUACUUAUGAGGCUUUAUGUUACUGAUUGUAGUUAUGUUCUUUUAUUUAUUUUAGCCUGUUGUUUAUGUUAGCUUGACAGAAAUUCAGAAUGCACGCGGUAUCAUGGAUGUUCUUGCCGAAAUGCUCAAUGCUAUAGAUCCUGGGAACAAAGAGGUAAAUAUGAAAGGGAAAGUUUGCUUAUUGUUAGCACUGAAGCUUGCUUAGAGAAUGAUCUUUAUAAUUGAUGCAAAGGGCUCAUAUAUAUUGUAAAAGUAAAAUGGAAAUGAAUAUUUAGUUGUAUGAGAUUUUUCCCUCACGAAAUUGGCCAGUCAUUUGAAUUCUGGCUACAUGCUACUUUCGUUCUAUAUUUUCUUGAUCCAUAUGUUUUCUUCACAAUUUUUUAAUACACUUUGGAUUCAGUUUAAGAAUUCAUUUCUAUCUGUUGGCAGGGACUUAGACAAGAGGUAAUUGUUGAUCUGGUGGAACAAUGUCGUACAUAUAAGCAAAGAGUGGUACAUCUUGUUAAUUCGACUUCGUAAGGCCCUGAUAUACCUUCCCUUCUGCUAAACACUUGCAUGUUUAUGUCACACAGCAUAUGCAACAUGUCAAUGUGGGUUGGAGCUUAUUUGUAUUUCAUGUUUUUCUCAAGUUGUUUAUGAACUGGCAGGAAGGAAUAAGGUAUUGAGAGCAAUAACUGACAUAUUGAAAUUGUGAAAACAUAGAACCAUUUAACAGAUGACAUGGCCUCGAAUAGUUUGUGAAGGACAAUUGUUUUUUGUCCAAUUCAUUUUGCCCUUUUCAGUUUGAUGUUAAUGAAAUGGUUUCUUUUUUCUAUUAAUUUAAUGCCUGUAGAAUAACCUGUAGUCAUCUCUGUUGGGCAUGUCCAGAAUGCAUCAUAUGCUUCUGGUCUGCUUGGUGCAAGCUUAAAUUGGUGGUGAAGGUGAAUGAUUAUAAUAUAUUUAUCAGCUCUCUCUUGGAAUCAAGAGUCACAUGUGAGGAGGAAUUAAGUCCACUUCAAGAUAAAAAUCAUCAGGCUUUGGUAUAUUAUAUUGGAUGGAGAACGGCCAUGUUGACACUUGAAAUGUGUUUUAUAUAGCUGAACUACUUUGUGGGUGCAGAAGUUAAUUUUGUGGAAAGGAUGAUCUUUCGGCUCAGUUUCUUGGUAGCAUCUCGAUGAGUGGUAACCUCUACGAAAGUCCUGAAGGCAGCGACCUAAUUGGAGUAGGGAUGUGAUUUAUACGAGUCUUGCAAUUGAUGAGUAUAUUAGCAAGUUUCUGUCCCGUUCCCAUCAUGACUGAUCAAUUGCACAGCCCUUCAGCAAUGGAGAACAAAGAACCCACUAGACUCCCAUGCAGUAUUUUUCACAUGGUCUUUGCAUGUAUCAUUUAUCAUGUGUAACAUGAUUAUUACUUUUGUCAUGUUGGAUAGUAUUAUGGUUAGGCUUAUUUGGUGAAGAACUCAACUCAUUGUUUUACUGAAUUUAAUAUAUACAUGAUGUAGGGAUGAAUCGCUAUUAUGCCAAGGACUAGCACUGAAUGAUGACCUGCAACGUUUGUUGGCUAAGCAUGAAGCAAUUGCUUCCGGAGCAACCACUGUUCAGUCAGACAAAUCAAAACCAAAACCUGAACCUGUUCGAUCCCUGGUAGAUGUUGAUGCUCCUCUUAUUGACACUGGAGAUAAAGGGUAAAAUGUGAUUACUCUUGAAGGAUGAAUUAGAUUGUUAAUGUAUUGGUAUUGGCCUUUUUGUUUGUUUAUGGAUGUUAGUACCUGUCCGUGUUAAAAAGUAUUAUUUAUGGUGUCAUUUGAAAAUUGAAAUUGUUUGGCCUUGACUCUGAUGUGCUCACAUAUAUUCCAUGAGCUUUGCAUUUUGAACCUUUUUAGGGGAGGGUAGGAAGAGGACCUGAAAAGGAUAUGGACAGUGUAGAUAAUUUUCAACAAUUUUGGAACUUCUUUUCUUCAGGAUUUAUUGUGUUGGAUAUCAGAUUACUUCUUAAAGAGCAAAAUGGAUUUGUUGACCCUUUUAAACUAAAAAACUUCCUUUGUAUGUACUAUUAGUAUAAAUUAUUUAUCCAGUGUAACCCUCUUCAGUACCUGGUAGUUAAAACAAGGGAAAAAGAGAAGGUUAUUAGUCGAUAUACAUUCUGUGGGCUGCAUCUCCUUAUAUUUAUGGCCUUACUUAGAAGACCGAAACAUAAAGUUUCAAAGUUGAACAUUUUGUUGACCUCCUAGCUGCCGUAGCAAUGUUUGUAGAUUUUACCAUCAACAUUCUCUACAUGUCAUAUGUAUUUGGAUAUUUUUUAGACUACCUAGCUCUGAACUUGUUUGUUUUACUGUGUGUUUUUGGGUAGUAGGACUCUGGUUUGAUAAUAUGUUCUUAACAUCAAUAAUCUGACUGCCUUCUUUUUAUUUGCAAUCUACUGAUAGUUCUGGCUCAGGGAAACAGUUAGCUCUUCCUGCUCCCCCUGCAUCUAGUGGUCAAUCAACAACUCCAACGAAGGCUGAUCCUAAGAUAGAUCUUUUGAGUGGAGAUGACUUCUCAUUGGCAAUUGUUCCAGUGGGAGAGCCUCAGCCGGCCAGCCCUGCUGCAUCUCAGCAGAAUGCCCUCGCACUUAUUGACAUGUUUUCACAGAGUAAUAAUAUCCCCUCUUCGAAUUCUGUUGGACAAGCGCAUCCUUCGUCCCCUCAAUUUCAGCAACAACAGAAUUUUCAAUAUCCAAAGUCACCAUUAUCUCCAAAUGGAACUGUUUCUGGUCCAAUGUUUCCCCAAAAUGAACUGUCACUUUACUCACAAGGCUCAACCUCUCCAUGGAAUGGUCAAAUAACCCAGCAACAGCAGCCACCCUCACCAGUUUAUGGUGCGUAUAUCUCUUCUUCUUUCUUUAUUUAUUUAUUUUGUUCUUUGAAACUAGUUUAUUUUUGUUUUUCAAUUAUGUAAACGUUCAGAAUUCUCCAUCCCACCCACCCACUCCCCAGCACUCACGCGCCAAAGAAAAAAAAAAUCCUGCAUUUUAGAGAAUAUGAAGAAAUUAUCGUUUAACUGUAUUCCAAAUAUGUUGUAGUUGGAAAGAUUUGUUUCAAAAACAAUUAUUUUCUUCGACCUACGAGUUUAGAAUAUUAUUAGUGGCCACUCGACUCAACUGCAAGCAUGUCAUUCCUAAUACAUGGAAAAUAUAAUCUUGGUUUUCUUGGGCUAUAUUUCAUUCGGAUCUAUGCUUAUUUUUGUUUGAUAGGUGCUCAAAAUAGUGGUGCAUUGCCACCUCCACCGUGGGAAUCUCAACUAGACAAUAGCCAGUUUGGCAAUAAUCAGUCUCCUCAGCGAAUGCAAGUGACAACACAAUUAACAAUCACCCACUCGCAGCCAUUUCCCAGUGGCACAUAUCUUCCAGGCUCACCUGUGGCCAAUGAUCAGGUAGUCGGCAUGUACAUUCAGCCAAUUGCCACUGGCAAUUUUACAGCAAUCAACAACCAGGGUAUGGGAUUGCAUCCUCAAUCAAUCCAGGGUCCACAAAUGGGUAUGUUUUCUCAUCCAGUGCAAUCCGGUCAAAUGGCUUAUAUGUAUCCUCAACAGACGUAUGGAAAUCAAAUGGCGAACUAUGGCUAUGGUUACGGCCAACAGCAAAAUACUCAGGUUUUCGAGCAAAACAUGUCCAGGUUAUCUAUAAGGGACGACAGCAUCUUGAGAAAUAAUUCCUUUUCUUCAGCUCCAACGCCCGCAUCCUCGUAUGUCCCAAGGCCCUCGAAGCCAGAGGACAAACUCUUUGGGGACCUAGUUGACAUUACUAAAUUUAAACCAUCGAAAACUACUCCGGGUAGAGCUGGAAGCAUGUGACAUGACCUUGCCUUGUAUUUUGUUUGCUAACUUGGUGUGGACCGAUUUCAGAUCUUAAGAUUUUUUUGGGUUAAAAUUUCCACUAAUAUAUUUUCUUCUUUUUGGUCCAUUGUGUUGCAUUUUUUCUUUGUUUGCGGUUUCUUUACAUUAGAAUCAUGUAUAUUUCUUGUAGAAAUAAACACAUAAAAGAAAGGAAAAAAACAUUUAAUUGUUUAUGGUAAGUAAUGUUAGACCAAUAUCUCGAAUCUGCAAAUUGCAAUGCUAUCAUUAUCAUCUCGUUGUCCUGUAUUUUGGCUGCUUUCAAUUUUCAGUGAAAUUCAUGUGCACGUCGCAAGGAAUACACUUCUUUCUGGUAAACAUGAUGUAUUGAACUCAUACUAGAGAGAAAAGUUUUCUUGAUUGUGAUCAACUCUUGAUUGUGAUCAACUUAAACAAUUUUCAUACUCGAUUUCCAUUUAAAAAAUAAAAUAAAGAGCCUGUUUGGGGGUGAUUUUGAGAAUUAAUUUUUUGACCAUUAAGAUAAAAGUGGGGUUCACCAGUGAGAGAAGAAGUUAAAUAUGACGAUUGAAAUAGUUAAAUAACGGUUAAAAAAAUCAAUUUUUUGGGUCAAAAAAUCACUCCCAAACAGGUUGAAAGUGUGCUUCUUGAGUUGAAACUUGUGUUCAACGUUCUAUACAAGUUUUGUCUAAAUUCGAAUUGGAAAAUUUUUGGCACACUGCAUGUGGUGCAGUGUCUAUAUGUGUCCAUGAUAACGAAAUCGAACACAAAGUGAAAGUCUUUACGCCAUUGUUAGAUUGAGCAUUGUUGGAGAAGCUUAAACGUGAAUUUGAACAUAGUGAAAAUGUAAAAUGAAGUUAAUUCAAGAAGUAACUUGUUUUUACCUCUGAAAUUGUUUAUUCAAAUGUUUCCAGAGGCCAAAAAUCACUAAAAAGUAAUUUUACCUUUCAUGGGGAUUUUUAACUUACAAGUGUAGUAAACAAUGGAUCAAAGAUGUUGGGAAAAAAAAUAAAUAAAUAAAUAAAUAAAUAAAAUAUAUAUAUAUAUAUAUAUAUAGAAAAUGCUAAUAAUAAUAAUAAUAAUAAUAAUAAUAAUAACAGUAAAAUAAAGCUAAAAAAAAAAAAAAAAAAAAAGACAAAAGAAGCAUUGGGCCUAUACACAAUUCAAAUUAGAUCGAUUUCGGACCCAACCCCAGACCAACUUGGUCAAUUUUGAUAAAUUUUUACUCAAAUCAAUUCAAUUCAAUUGGUUUGGUUAAUCGAUUUGGAGAUAUCCAAAUUUUGGCACUCAUUAAAAUAAUAAUUUAUUUUUCUCCCUUUCUAUCAACUAUACAUUCUCCAAUAAAAUAAUAUUACAUGUAAAUUCCAAAAAUUAUAAUUUUAAAUAGCGGGAGCCAAACGGGGCUAAAAACAAAAAAUUGCCUGCCUAAAUAAUCUCUCAGCUUCUGUGUUUCUUAUAUUCGUGAAAAUUGAACAAAACUUAUCUAAAUUUCUUUCAUAACUUCGCACAUAUUACAAGUGUUUUUGCCCUGUGUCAACAAAUAAAUGUUAGAAUUUGAAUAUAAAGGCGAUAUUAACCGGAGAAUGGCAAAGCUCACAAUAAUGUAACAUGUUUAUUCUGCUUAAUCCAUUGCCAUAAUGUCCAAAUGACUAUAUUAUUUUUGUUUCUCUCUUAAUAUCACAACAAUUCACCUCGUCAGACUGCUUGACAUAAUUCUUAGCAGAAUGCCACGUAAAAAUUUUAUCAUUAAAUUAUUUUAAAUACAGUUAAUUUUUUUAUUAAAUUAUUUGCUGCCACCUCAAAUUAUGUCACUGCAUAUUUUAAAUUUCUUCUAUCAAAGUAGUAAAAAUCCAAAAGUGUUCAAUCUAAAUUUUAUAAGGAAAACAUUAACAUGACACCAAUUAAUUGAUACCGGGUUAGUGGCUAAAAAUUAAUUGAAUCGGUCGAAUUUUGGUUCAAACUGACCUAAAACGAUUCUACUCGGUCCAACUGAUUUUUCAUUGAAGGAUGUAUUCAUUUAAUUUUUUAUAAUUUAUCUUCAUUAAAUAACGUGCCUACUUAGUUCUUGUUUAAUUUUGUUAAAAAUUAAAAUUUUAAUAAAAAUUAUGAAUUUUAUAAAUUUCGUAAUUAAAAUUAAUUAUUAUUUUUUAGUCAAAAUAUACAAUGACUUAAUUUUUUAUAAUUUACCUCCACAUAUCUUUUUAUCUUUUGUUUGAUUCUCAUUAUUUUUAAAAUAUAUUUUUCUCUUUUUUUUAAUCACAUAUAUUUUAAUAAAAUAAUUUACACAUAAAUUUAAUUUUUUUUUAUUUUUGAGCCACUCAUUCUCUAUUAAUCUAUUAUUUUAAAAUGCAAUCUUAACAAAAAUAAAAAAUAAUAAGGUUCAAAAGGCGCUAAAAGUAUACUCGUCCUUCCAUCCUUAUGUUGCUUGUCACACGAACAAAUAAUUGCGUCUGAGAUGCUCCAAACAUUCUUUUUCAAAUCAACACCAGCCGUCCGAUCUCCAAUAUUCGGCGGCAUCAAUCGCCUAACAAACCAAGAACUCGAGGCACAGUAUCCCUCCACGUGUCUUAAAUCAAUUGGUUAACAUCAAUUUUAAUAUUUAUAUCCUAGUUUUCCCCUCCCCCAAAUCAGCAAAAAAUAACAACAGAACCGGAAAAACUAGCCCCGGGUCUAUGGGAAUCAGGGGCCUUCCUUUUUCAUUUAUUUGUUUUUCCUUGAUUGAAAGUUGGGGAUUUUCCGGGGAUUUUUCCGGCAGAUUCGAUUGAGACUUCCGAUUGAUCUUCGGGGAGUGAGGAAUAUUGAGAGAAAGGUGAAACAAUGGUGAAUUCAAUGGUGGAAAGAGCGACGAGCGAUAUGCUCAUAGGUCCUGAUUGGGCUAUGAACAUCGAGAUCUGUGACAUUUGCAACCACGAUCCCGCGUAAUUGCAUCUACUCUCUUGUUUUCCACUUAAUUUAUCCAGAAUAGUUUGUUUACAAUGAAAUGAAAAAAAAAAAAAAGGAAUUGAAAACGAUGCAUGUCUUUUAUGUAUAGAGUUUGAAGACUUUCUUUCAUAUUUUAAAAUUUUUAUGAUAUGGAAUUUUCGGGAAUUUCGGAUUUGUUUAAUUGUUCCUUGUUUUCUUGUAUUCUCUACAAAUAAAUAAGGAAAAGAACACUUUGUAGAAUAAUUAGAGUUUUCAAUUUUUAUUCGAGUGUAGUUUUACGUUUUCAUUUUUCAACAUUAUUGUAUUAUCAUGCUUAGCCGAAGUAACUAUUUUUACCGGUUAGUAAUUUAUGUAAACUACUGGUAUGUGUUUGUAGUCUAAAUCCCUACUUUCUUGAUGCCUAAAAUUUAACUCACUUGCAUGCUUCUGUUUUGACAAUUUUCAAUAUUGAGAAGUAGAAAAGUAUAAUUUCUUCCAAAUUUGUUCUGCAGACUUUGGCUUUACAAAAAGGAGUCGUCAAUAUGUUUAUAACUAGUACUAACGACAUUUACAUGCAACAUCCAUGUGUCUCUUAGUCGGACAAUAUAAGAUUGUUAAACUUGCUUUUUACCUGUAAGAUGUUGAUUGGCUAAGAUAUCAUUUUUGUUAAUUUUCUCUAAUAAUGAAAAAACCUGUUAUAUGUAUGCAUUUUGCUGGUAGCUUCACUUUAAUGUUGUCUGAUUUACGUAAUGAAAAUUCGAAAUCAUUGUUGUUAUUAUUCUCAUCAUCAUUACUUUCAACUUAUUGCGACUCUAUUUGUUUAUCAGUCAAGCAAAAGAUGUUGUAAAAGGUAUAAAGAAGCGUCUUGGUAGCAAAAAUGCAAAAGUCCAGCUCCUCGCCUUAACAGUAAGUUUGGCUUGUAUUUACUGAUUUAUGAGGCUGCUUCUAUUGCAUACAUAUCUGUUGUUUGAUUUACCUGCUUUGGUCAGCUGGAAGGCUUUGCCUUUUAUGAGUUACAUGGUAUUUUCUCUCAUGAACUGAAUUCUUAAUAAAUUUUUUUCUGGUCUUGGACCGUUAGAUUUUUGAGCUAUAAAACUUUUAUUUCUUAAGUAUCGAAUAACUUUUCUGCACGGGCAACCAAAGGAAGGACUUUGAGGCAUGGGUUCCUUACUUCCCAUCAUCUUUUAGCCUUCAUAUAUUCUGGUAUUUUCUGAUUGGCAUUAUGUGCUGUGGUAAACCAUUAUGAAGGAUCUGGAAGGCAAAACACGGGCCUUCUUAAUUAUGCUCUAAAAGUAUAAUUUUGGAGACUGCUGAUAAGCGAGGAACCACAUGAUGCUGUGGAGACAUAGCUAUGUAGGCCAUUGUCUGAGGAAAGGACAAAAUAGUGAAAGAUCUGGAAGAUCAAACAUGGACAAGUAGAAACUGGGUGGAAGAAUUUUCUUCACAUAUGAUUUGGAUAAAGCUUAGGGUGGAAUGGGGUUGCUUGUACUUCAUUCGGAUGAAGGUAGGGAACUAGAUGGGAGAUAGAUAGUGAAACACAGUGAUGCAUUCUGGCAUUCUAGUAUUUGUGAGACUGGAGAUGGAGAAAGGCUAGUGUCGGGCAAAGAGGGGAUUGAGUUUCCUCAUGGUUGCAUAGUUCCAUUGCGAUGCUCAAAAAGUCAACUUGUGAGCCUUUCUCAUGUUUGCGGUAGAGUAGAGCAUGGCUUGAAAUACAUAUGUUGUGCAUUUGGGAAAGAAAAGGUUAACUUGAUUUUUUUACCUUAACAAAAUGUUUAAAAAUGCUCAAUCGGGUACCAGUUCUUUUUUACUUGUAAACCUCAAGAUAGACCAAUAAAUAAUUCACAAGAAUAUAAAAAUACUAAAAUAUUGUUAUUAAUCAUAAAACCAUUUUUAAAAAAUCCAUAAUAAAGCAAGUUAACAAAAAUAAGUUUAACUAGCAAACAAACAUAAAAUAAAUCAAUAACAUAAUAAAAAAAUUCUCAAAAAGCUAAGGCCAGUUCCUAAAAAAAAGAAAAAAAGAAAAGAAAAAUGGGCAAACAUUUCGGCUGUCUCGAGGCUUACCCUUUUCGCCUCCCCAAGUUUACGUGUAAGUCUCACAAUUGGCACAUAACGGGUGAGAUUUUAUUUCAAACAAUGGUUUAACAUUUUUGGGGUCAUACAAAGAUGUGAGGAUUUGAUGGUUUUAAUAGUAGCUCUAUAGGAGAAGUAAGCCCUUGGUGGCCUUUAAUUUGAAGAAAAAAAAAAACUAUGUUUUGAAUAGUAUUUUUUUGGAGAAUGUGUGGUUAAAAAGUAAGGAAAAACUUUGGGUUUAGUGUAGAACAUUUUAUUGUAUGAAUGUGUAAUUGAAAAUGAGUAUGAGAAAUAAAUUAAAUUAAAUUAAAGGCCACCAAACAGGGGCAUAUUUCCUUACAACUCUAGUGAACUCAACCUUAACCACUUGAAAUGCUCAUUAAUUUUGGUAAAGCAAUGGGGUUGUCAUUUCAUUUUCUAGAUGUACUAAUUUUUGGACAACAACUUGAUAUGAGUAUAUUUGUUCAAUGCCUCUCAAUAGUGCUCAAGUAAAUGAAGAGAUAACGUGGUUGGUUUUCAUUUCAUUUUUCUAGCUUUUGGAGACAAUUGUGAAGAACUGCGGGGACAUUGUCCAUAUGCAUGUUGCUGAAAAAGAUUUGCUUCAUGAGAUGGUGAAAAUUGUGAAGAAGAAGGUAAUUGAUUGCACUUACUAUCAACCACUUUUUGUUUACAUCUACUUGAGUUAUUAGUAUAAAUUGUUGCUGAUGCAUCUUUUAUUGCAGCCUGACUUUCGUGUAAAAGAGAAGAUUCUAAUUUUAAUAGAUACUUGGCAAGAAGCUUUUGGAGGACCAAGGGCAAGAUAUCCUCAAUACUUUGCAGCUUACCAGGAUUUGUUGGUACGGUUGCAAGGCGGUUCCUAUGUUUUGGUCCCAUUUUACCCUUUUGUGUCUAAUUAUUGUACAUUGAUUUUUAUUUUCUAUGUGUACAUUUUAUCAGCGUUUUGGAGCAGUAUUCCCUCAGAGAUCGGAGAGCUCAGCACCUGUUUUCACACCCCCACAAACACAUCCAUUGGCAUCACAACCACAAAAUAUUCGUAACCUGGAACCUAGGCAGAACGCAUCCGAGUCUUCUGCAGAAGCUGAAUUUCCUACAUUGAGGUAUGUUUUCUAAAGCGUCAGUGUUGAAAUUUAAAUCACGUUAAAUAAUUUGUCAUAUCAAUAGCAGUUUUAAGGAAGUUGAAAAAACACAGGGGUUGGUUCUUUUCUGAAUCUGAUAUAUGAACAGCGUAUAGUCAAGUUAGAAAUUUAGUUCUUCAAAAUAUUGCUUGUUUUCAACUUCUGUUAUUUUGUACACUUAAACGUAGUGUAACAAAUGACAUGACAUAUGGAUAAAAGAGAGGGGAUUGAUCAAUCGAGUCCCAGGUACACUGGUGGAUUUUAGUGGAUUUUAUCAUGUUGAGAGCUUUUGCUGAGCAUCUGUAAUUGGAGAAUCUGCACAAUCUGAAGAAAAUGCCUAUUUAGAAAGUAAGUGAAUUGAUUGACAUUUGAGAGCUUUUGCUGGCCUUUCCUUGAUAAAGUUACUGUCAAGGGACUAAUAAACCGGGCUUCUUUCUGUAUAAUCUAUCUUGAUAUCUUAUAAAAGGCAACUAUUUAUCUCUUCCGAAUUAAGCCAUAGGUUAGUUUGAAGUAUCAGUUCAGCAUUUACUACUUGAUUUUGCAAUCUCAAUUUAUGGUGGCGCUUUUGACUUCUUAGCGCAAGCUAUGCAGGCCUGUAUAAUCCGAACUCCAACAAUAAGGGCAUACGAUCCACUUUCUAGAUUCACUUUCUAGUCUGGAUUAGAUAUGUUAUUAAUAUCUGUUAUAAAUACAAAAUAUGUCUCAUUCUUGGUGGUUGGUAAAUUUGAAAUUAUUGUAUAACCUGGCAACAGAUCAUACUUGUGAUACUUAUGAGGCUUUAUGUUACUGAUUGUAGUUAUGUUCUUUUAUUUAUUUUAGCCUGUUGUUUAUGUUAGCUUGACAGAAAUUCAGAAUGCACGCGGUAUCAUGGAUGUUCUUGCCGAAAUGCUCAAUGCUAUAGAUCCUGGGAACAAAGAGGUAAAUAUGAAAGGGAAAGUUUGCUUAUUGUUAGCACUGAAGCUUGCUUAGAGAAUGAUCUUUAUAAUUGAUGCAAAGGGCUCAUAUAUAUUGUAAAAGUAAAAUGGAAAUGAAUAUUUAGUUGUAUGAGAUUUUUCCCUCACGAAAUUGGCCAGUCAUUUGAAUUCUGGCUACAUGCUACUUUCGUUCUAUAUUUUCUUGAUCCAUAUGUUUUCUUCACAAUUUUUUAAUACACUUUGGAUUCAGUUUAAGAAUUCAUUUCUAUCUGUUGGCAGGGACUUAGACAAGAGGUAAUUGUUGAUCUGGUGGAACAAUGUCGUACAUAUAAGCAAAGAGUGGUACAUCUUGUUAAUUCGACUUCGUAAGGCCCUGAUAUACCUUCCCUUCUGCUAAACACUUGCAUGUUUAUGUCACACAGCAUAUGCAACAUGUCAAUGUGGGUUGGAGCUUAUUUGUAUUUCAUGUUUUUCUCAAGUUGUUUAUGAACUGGCAGGAAGGAAUAAGGUAUUGAGAGCAAUAACUGACAUAUUGAAAUUGUGAAAACAUAGAAUCAUUUAACAGAUGACAUGGCCUCGAAUAGUUUGUGAAGGACAAUUGUUUUUUGUCCAAUUCAUUUUGCCCUUUUCAGUUUGAUGUUAAUGAAAUGGUUUCUUUUUUCUAUUAAUUUAAUGCCUGUAGAAUAACCUGUAGUCAUCUCUGUUGGGCAUGUCCAGAAUGCAUCAUAUGCUUCUGGUCUGCUUUGUGCAAGCUUAAAUUGGUGGUGAAGGUUGAUGAUUAUAAUAUAUUUAUCAGCUCUCUCUUGGAAUCAAGAGUCACAUGUGAGGAGGAAUUAAGUCCACUUCAAGAUAAAAAUCAUCAGGCUUUGGUAUAUUAUAUUGGAUGGAGAACGGCCAUGUUGACACUUGAAAUGUGUUUUAUAUAGCUGAACUACUUUGUGGGUGCAGAAGUUAAUUUUGUGGAAAGGAUGAUCUUUCGGCUCAGUUUCUUGGUAGCAUCUCGAUGAGUGGUAACCUCUACGAAAGUCCUGAAGGCAGCGACCUAAUUGGAGUAGGGAUGUGAUUUAUACGAGUCUUGCAAUUGAUGAGUAUAUUAGCAAGUUUCUGUCCCGUUCCCAUCAUGACUGAUCAAUUGCACAGCCCUUCAGCAAUGGAGAACAAAGAACCCACUAGACUCCCAUGCAGUAUUUUUCACAUGGUCUUUGCAUGUAUCAUUUAUCAUGUGUAACAUGAUUAUUACUUUUGUCAUGUUGGAUAGUAUUAUGGUUAGGCUUAUUUGGUGAAGAACUCAACUCAUUGUUUUACUGAAUUUAAUAUAUACAUGAUGUAGGGAUGAAUCGCUAUUAUGCCAAGGACUAGCACUGAAUGAUGACCUGCAACGUUUGUUGGCUAAGCAUGAAGCAAUUGCUUCCGGAGCAACCACUGUUCAGUCAGACAAAUCAAAACCAAAACCUGAACCUGUUCGAUCCCUGGUAGAUGUUGAUGCUCCUCUUAUUGACACUGGAGAUAAAGGGUAAAAUGUGAUUACUCUUGAAGGAUGAAUUAGAUUGUUAAUGUAUUGGUAUUGGCCUUUUUGUUUGUUUAUGGAUGUUAGUACCUGUCCGUGUUAAAAAGUAUUAUUUAUGGUGUCAUUUGAAAAUUGAAAUUGUUUGGCCUUGACUCUGAUGUGCUCACAUAUAUUCCAUGAGCUUUGCAUUUUGAACCUUUUUAGGGGAGGGUAGGAAGAGGACCUGAAAAGGAUAUGGACAGUGUAGAUAAUUUUCAACAAUUUUGGAACUUCUUUUCUUCAGGAUUUAUUGUGUUGGAUAUCAGAUUACUUCUUAAAGAGCAAAAUGGAUUUGUUGACCCUUUUAAACUAAAAAACUUCCUUUGUAUGUACUAUUAGUAUAAAUUAUUUAUCCAGUGUAACCCUCUUCAGUACCUGGUAGUUAAAACAAGGGAAAAAGAGAAGGUUAUUAGUCGAUAUACAUUCUGUGGGCUGCAUCUCCUUAUAUUUAUGGCCUUACUUAGAAGACCGAAACAUAAAGUUUCAAAGUUGAACAUUUUGUUGACCUCCUAGCUGCCGUAGCAAUGUUUGUAGAUUUUACCAUCAACAUUCUCUACAUGUCAUAUGUUUUUGGAUAUUUUUUAGACUACCUAGCUCUGAACUUGUUUGUUUUACUGUGUGUUUUUGGGUAGUAGGACUCUGGUUUGAUAAUAUGUUCUUAACAUCAAUAAUCUGACUGCCUUCUUUUUAUUUGCAAUCUACUGAUAGUUCUGGCUCAGGGAAACAGUUAGCUCUUCCUGCUCCCCCUGCAUCUAGUGGUCAAUCAACAACUCCAACGAAGGCUGAUCCUAAGAUAGAUCUUUUGAGUGGAGAUGACUUCUCAUUGGCAAUUGUUCCAGUGGGAGAGCCUCAGCCGGCCAGCCCUGCUGCAUCUCAGCAGAAUGCCCUCGCACUUAUUGACAUGUUUUCACAGAGUAAUAAUAUCCCCUCUUCGAAUUCUGUUGGACAAGCGCAUCCUUCGUCCCCUCAAUUUCAGCAACAACAGAAUUUUCAAUAUCCAAAGUCACCAUUAUCUCCAAAUGGAACUGUUUCUGGUCCAAUGUUUCCCCAAAAUGAACUGUCACUUUACUCACAAGGCUCAACCUCUCCAUGGAAUGGUCAAAUAACCCAGCAACAGCAGCCACCCUCACCAGUUUAUGGUGCGUAUAUCUCUUCUUCUUUCUUUAUUUAUUUAUUUUGUUCUUUGAAACUAGUUUAUUUUUGUUUUUCAAUUAUGUAAACGUUCAGAAUUCUCCAUCCCACCCACCCACUCCCCAGCACUCACGCGCCAAAGAAAAAAAAAAUCCUGCAUUUUAGAGAAUAUGAAGAAAUUAUCGUUUAACUGUAUUCCAAAUAUGUUGUAGUUGGAAAGAUUUGUUUCAAAAACAAUUAUUUUCUUCGACCUACGAGUUUAGAAUAUUAUUAGUGGCCACUCGACUCAACUGCAAGCAUGUCAUUCCUAAUACAUGGAAAAUAUAAUCUUGGUUUUCUUGGGCUAUAUUUCAUUCGGAUCUAUGCUUAUUUUUGUUUGAUAGGUGCUCAAAAUAGUGGUGCAUUGCCACCUCCACCGUGGGAAUCUCAACUAGACAAUAGCCAGUUUGGCAAUAAUCAGUCUCCUCAGCGAAUGCAAGUGACAACACAAUUAACAAUCACCCACUCGCAGCCAUUUCCCAGUGGCACAUAUCUUCCAGGCUCACCUGUGGCCAAUGAUCAGGUAGUCGGCAUGUACAUUCAGCCAAUUGCCACUGGCAAUUUUACAGCAAUCAACAACCAGGGUAUGGGAUUGCAUCCUCAAUCAAUCCAGGGUCCACAAAUGGGUAUGUUUUCUCAUCCAGUGCAAUCCGGUCAAAUGGCUUAUAUGUAUCCUCAACAGACGUAUGGAAAUCAAAUGGCGAACUAUGGCUAUGGUUACGGCCAACAGCAAAAUACUCAGGUUUUCGAGCAAAACAUGUCCAGGUUAUCUAUAAGGGACGACAGCAUCUUGAGAAAUAAUUCCUUUUCUUCAGCUCCAACGCCCGCAUCCUCGUAUGUCCCAAGGCCCUCGAAGCCAGAGGACAAACUCUUUGGGGACCUAGUUGACAUUACUAAAUUUAAACCAUCGAAAACUACUCCGGGUAGAGCUGGAAGCAUGUGACAUGACCUUGCCUUGUAUUUUGUUUGCUAACUUGGUGUGGACCGAUUUCAGAUCUUAAGAUUUUUUUGGGUUAAAAUUUCCACUAAUAUAUUUUCUUCUUUUUGGUCCAUUGUGUUGCAUUUUUUCUUUGUUUGCGGUUUCUUUACAUUAGAAUCAUGUAUAUUUCUUGUAGAAAUAAACACAUAAAAGAAAGGAAAAAAACAUUUAAUUGUUUAUGGUAAGUAAUGUUAGACCAAUAUCUCGAAUCUGCAAAUUGCAAUGCUAUCAUUAUCAUCUCGUUGUCCUGUAUUUUGGCUGCUUUCAAUUUUCAGUGAAAUUCAUGUGCACGUCGCAAGGAAUACACUUCUUUCUGGUAAACAUGAUGUAUUGAACUCAUACUAGAGAGAAAAGUUUUCUUGAUUGUGAUCAACUUAAACAAUUUUCAUACUCGAUUUCCAUUUAAAAAAUAAAAUAAAGAGCCUGUUUGGGGGUGAUUUUGAGAAUUAAUUUUUUGACCAUUAAGAUAAAAGUGGGGUUCACCAGUGAGAGAAGAAGUUAAAUAUGACGAUUGAAAUAGUUAAAUAACGGUCAAAAAAAUCAAUUUUUUGGGUCAAAAAAUCACUCCCAAACAGGUUGAAAGUGUGCUUCUUGAGUUGAAACUUGUGUUCAACGUUCUAUACAAGUUUUGUCUAAAUUCGAAUUGGAAAAUUUUUGGCACACUGCAUGUGGUGCAGUGUCUAUAUGUGUCCAUGAUAACGAAAUCGAACACAAAGUGAAAGUCUUUACGCCAUUGUUAGAUUGAGCAUUGUUGGAGAAGCUUAAACGUGAAUUUGAACAUAGUGAAAAUGUAAAAUGAAGUUAAUUCAAGAAGUAACUUGUUUUUACCUCUGAAAUUGUUUAUUCAAAUGUUUCCAGAGGCCAAAAAUCACUAAAAAGUAAUUUUACCUUUCAUGGGGAUUUUUAACUUACAAGUGUAGUAAACAAUGGAUCAAAGAUGUUGGGAAAAAAAAUAAAUAAAUAAAUAAAUAAAUAAAAUAUAUAUAUAUAUAUAUAUAUAGAAAAUGCAAUAUGUACCUGUAGGCAUCCUCCAUCAGUAAGUAGUAAGCCAAUGACCUUCGCUUCCUUCAAUUUUGGCAAAACUUCCUGAAAGUAAAAACUGGGAGAAGCAGAACUUUUUGGUUUGAAAAUUGGAAACUGCUUAUGCUUCCUGGCCUCCUUAAAGCCAAGUGGUAGGUCGUGUACGACGGUCACAUCAUUUGUUAACGCUUCUGACUACCAGAAAGUUUGAUGGACCGCCCCUCACCGGAUCCUAUAAAAAUGCACAAUCAGAUUAUAAAGUAUUCUCACGCGUCAUCUGAAGUUCACGCUGAUCUCUGGUAAGCUUCUAUUUUCUGUUCAUUCAUAUCUCUUUAUGAAUUAUAUCUUUUACUUGAAUAUUUUUUUAUCAGUGCUUUUUGUUAAUCUUAGUCGCGUGCGAAGAAUUUUGAAUUCCUGUUUGAUUAAUGGGAUAAUUUAGGUCAGUAGGCAUGUUUUCUUAAAGAUUUGAUUGUCAUGUUUAACAAAUUUAUAUUUUUCUAAUAUGAAUUGUUUUCGAUUGAUUAAGCUUUGAAGUGAAUUGUGGAUUUCAGAAGUAGAGCAGAAAAUGCAGGUUAGUAUCGUUUCUUUUGUAAUUCCUUUUGUCAUAGCGGUUUUUGUCAUUAUGUAUUAGAUUAUUUUCUUUUUAUAUGUAUUUGUAAGAUUUCUUUGGAUUGGAAGCUCCGGAAAUUACUGGUAUUUACUACUUAGUGAAAUUUAAUAGUAUCUUUUGUUUGGUUGCUUGCAAUUAGGCUUUACACUUGCAAAACACAUUUUUUGUUGGUUCUUCUCCUCAUUUAUAACUGAGGUUUUCCAGGAAUUUCAUGGUACUAUCAUUAACUUAAAUUUUUUUAAUGUUUAUUGGUUUUACCCUGUUUUCCUGCAUUAAGUUUUUUAUGGUUUUGAGAGCUCGUGAUGUAUAAUACAAAUGUGAUAACUGGGAAGACCAGUGUUUCCAAAUUAAUUGGUAGAAAGUAGAGAAGGGUAAUUGUUUGAUAGGGGUAGUUCGGGACAAAAAUGUAUUACGAAUGUGGAUGUUAAUUUAUGACAUCUCAGAUAGGAACAGAAGGUGUUUGAUUGAGCAUUGAGGAAGUACUAAAUUGGGGCAGCAUGGAAAUGGGCCUUUUCUUUUUCUAAAUGAAUCUAUUUGUCAUUAAUAAUAAAAUGGAAAACCGCGUGUAGAAGUAUUGAAGAUGAAUUUGUAUCUCUUGUUAUAUUGCAAAGUACUGAAUCUGUACAAAUUUAGAUCUUUGAUAAUUCGAUGGACUGGUAAAAGAUGAACAAUAACUUUGCCACAUGUAAAGGAGAGGGGGAAUCUUUCAUCUUUGAUAACGGUAGAAGGAUAUUCAUAUUAGGUUGGAUUUUGCACUGGGUUCAGGAACAGAGAGAGUGACAAAUUUAUUGUACCUUGACCUGCUAUUGCAGCUAAAGUGCCAUCAGCUAUUUUAACCUUGUUAUUUCCGGAAUAUGGACUAAUAUGUGGAGAAACGAAUUAAGAAUUUGUCAUAUGGUCACUAGAACCUGAAUCAAUUACCCAGGGGCUUGAGAAACAAUCUUUUGAGGUACGAAAAGCAUGAGAAUCAGAAUACUUACAUGAGUGUGCUAAAAAAAAAAAAAAAAAAAAAAACACCUAAAAAAAAAAGCACCUGAUAGGAAUCUCCUUUUUGUUGAAACCUCCAAUUUCAGAAUUGUUUGUUGCAUUUCUUGACGGGAGUUUUCAGAAUGAACAUCUGCAAGUUGAGAAGCCACUGCGACAACAUUGUUGUUUACCUCAAAUAUUCCUAACAUUUUAUGGCUCUUUUAUGGAUGGUGAUGACUGGAAAAAUAAUUUGAUCUAAUACCGCAUUAAGACCUGGGGUUCUAUGUUAAAGGUCAAUCUUGUCAAGACAAAUAGCUCAAGACCUUCUAUGUUGGUUGUUUAUUUUAUAAUCUUUUGAUGUGGGGGUAUCCCUUAACAUGCCCUUACAAAAUGGUGGUUUGUUUAAGCAGAUCCAUCUCGAAAUCGCGUGUCUAGUUUUAUAAUCUUAAUUGGGUAGAAUUAUGUGCUCAUUUUGAGUCAUAAUUGGGUAGAAUUGCCGUUUGAGUUUAAUGGGUUUUGAUAUCAUGAAGAUGAAUGUGUAUCGCUGGUUAUAUUACAAAGUCAUGAAUCUGUCCAAUUAUAUAGUUGGUUUGUAAUUUAGAGAAAGGGGAUAAAUUAACUUCCUAAAAAUGCUAACCUGCAAUCAUGGGAUAUUCUAAAAAUCAGCCGUAAUUUAUGGAACCAAGUAGCAAUCAGCCUUAAGCAAAUCAGCCUUUGACUUCCAUUUUAUAAUCAGCUAAUUAUUGAUUGAUUUGUCAACAAGUAUAACAAAAAAUCUUUAAAUAUGAUUAAUUCAUGACUCCGUGUCUGUAGCUCCAUUCUUUACCAAUGGUUUCAAAGGCCCUUAAGUGCAGUUUAAAAUAAUAGUAAAAAGUGAAAAGACAAUUUGGAGCAUGUUGACUUCCAUUUUAUAAUCAGCUAAUUAUUGAUUGAUUUGUCAACAAGUAUAACAAAAAAUCUUUAAAUAUGAUUAAUUCAUGACUCCGUGUCUCUAGCUCCAUUCUUUACCAAUGGUUUCAAAGGCCCUUAAGUGCAGUUUAAAAUAAUAGUAAAAAGUGAAAAGACAAUUUGGAGCAUGUCGCCUUGGGGUUAAAAUUAAAGAACAAUUUUCAUAAGCAUUUCAAGUGACAUUUUUCGGGCUUGAAGUUCUCAAAGUUGUAAUAUUGAUUCUUUUUUAUUGUUUAUAUUAGUAUCUGUUUUGGUAAUUUUUUUUGAGAAUGAGCUUUUUUUGUAAGUAGGCAUCAAGGGCUAGGCUUUUUAAGGAAUACAAAGAAGUUCAAAGAGAGAAAGUAGCCGAUCCCGAUAUUCAACUUGUUUGUGAUGAUUCGAACAUAUUUAAAUGGACAGCUCUUAUAAAGGUGAGGUUCUGUGUUGUUUAGGGAGCUUUAUUAUGUUGCCUUUUAUUUUGGGGAAAUGCAUAGCAGCAGUCGUGUUGCUCAACUCUUUAGUGUAUAUAGGGGCCAUCAGAAACUCCUUACGAAGGUGGAGUUUUCCAACUUGCAUUCUCUGUUCCUGAGCAGUAUCCUUUGCAGCCACCUCAAGUGCGAUUCUUAACCAAAAUUUUCCAUCCAAAUGUGCAUUUUAAGGUGAUUCUUGUCUUUUCUCUCUUUCUUUUAUGGUUUUUGCCCUGCAAGUGCAAUGAAUAAGGUAAGAGAUCAAAGGGUGAAAUGCAAUUCAUCUAGUAUGAAAUAUAACAUAAUUGGCAUUUCCACUAUGAUUAAUGGAUAAAUAUAAUUGGCUUAUGACUGGUAUUUGUCAACCAAAGGAACUGACUUCAGGUAGUUCUCUCGAAUGAAUGCUGAUACACAAUCAGGCAGUGAGACAGCACUGCCAUUAUAAGGAAAUAAAUAGUUGGAUUAAAUGCAUUAGGGUACAAUAAAUACCUCUAAUUCUUGCCAAACAGGUGUGAUGGUUUCAGUGUAGAGGAUCGUGACUUACCAAUGGCACCAGUAAAACUAAUUUCUCUAUUAAAAAUUAAAUGAAGAAAGGCUAGGAGUUAAAGAGGGAGUUUAAUUUAAGCUUUGUGCUCACNNNNNNNNNNNNNNNNNNNCACACGCACAGGGCGGUGGGAACAUUACAUCUAUCACGGUAAGAAAACUAAGUAAUAUACUUGGAGCCUUGAUCGAGAUUCUUCUGACAUUGAUUUGUGUGUAGUUGAUUCAAUCUCUUAUCAACAAUGUAGAAUAGAGAAAAUAUUGUUGUCAGACGAUGACGUAGAACUGCUGAUAUGCUUGCUUAGAUCUUCUUUUGUUUGGUUCUGUUCUUUCUUUAUCUUUUUUGUGCAUGGGAGGGGUGGUUAUGGUUCGUUUAGUUGUUAUUAACUAGUUUGCUUUUUCUUUUUGCAGACUGGUGAAAUAUGCCUUGAUAUCUUGAAGAACGCAUGGAGUCCAGCUUGGACGCUGCAGUCUGUUUGUCGGGCUAUAAUUGCGUUGAUGGCUCAUCCAGAACCUGACAGUCCAUUAAAUUGUGAUUCUGGUAAUCACUCAGUCUGAUUCCUUUCGCUACCUGGUGGAAAUAAUGUUUAUCUUUGCAACUUAAUAUCCUCACAUUGGUGGACCAACAGUCUCUCUUUCUCUAUCCAUCUCGCUCACUCUAUGCACUUGUACACAUCCAGAGAGUUCCUGUGGUUGUGAUUCCAAAAACAGAAUUUUUUUCAGUGGGAUUAUUUGAAAUUUUAAGUUAUAUACUCUGUACAACUAAAGAGUCUUAGCCCUUGAUUGGUCCACAUUAUUUCUAAAAUACAUUUUUCUCUCUUAUUUUCAACCACACAUUUUUCAAUAAAAUAAUAUUACACGUAAACCCAAAAAUUUUCCUUAUUUUUUAACUAUACAUUCUUCAUCAAAAAUGCAUUAUUUCCAAAAAAAAUGGGGCUCAACCAUGCUCUUAGUAUCCAUAAAUAUUACCUUUUCCAUUUUAUAUAUUUUAUCCUUUUGCUAGCUGUCAUUGUAAAUCACAGUUGAAGUUAUAAUUCCCCAUACUUUCAGUAAUGGUGUAUUCACAGGGAGAAAUAGCUCAAGGCAUAGGUUCUCCAUAACCACUUAUAUUUUUCUUUUGCGGUUCUGUUUUUCAUUUCCCCCCUCUAAUUUGUUGUUGCUAUUUUGGGCUGUGUAUUCGUGCCUUUUACUGUUAAUAUUCUUCGUUCUUUUUGGUUUUUGGUGUUCUUAUAUGCUUAUUCUGUGUAUUUGUUGCUGGUUUGGGGUUUGGUUCUCCUCCCUUUGUCAAGCUAAAAACAGGCAAUACAAUGGUACAUAUUAUGAAAGCACUCAGUUGCAAUUUUACGUGUUUAUUUGAUUUACUCGAUAAAAUUUAGUAUUUUUAUCUACAAACUUGACCCCUUUCCUGAGAACUCUCAAAAUGUUGUGUGUGUGUGUGUGGUUUUUUUUCCCGUACCUAGAUAUAUAAAAGAUAUGAUUAGUUGGUAAACAAGCCAAUUUUCUUUGCUUCUCUCCUCUGUUCUUUUUCGUGAGAUGUGUGAAUGUGGUUGAUGCUUCGUCCUUGCUUUUCCCAGGCAAUCUUCUUCGCUCUGGCGACACCAGAGGAUACCAGUCGAUGGCAAGAAUGUAUACCAGACUCGCAGCCAUGCCCAAGAAAGGGUGAAGGGAUGCUUAAUUAUUCUCUUGCAGCUUGCAUGUAAUCUAGUUUUCUCAUCAACUGUUUGCUCUUGGAUCUAUUUGCUAGCAAGUAGAAACUUGUUCCUCUUGCAGCCUUCCAUUAAACUGUCCUGGCCUUGGACUUCAAUACUCUAUUGUAUUCUGAAUUUAUUAUUGUCAGAUGCCCUGCUAUACAUUCGAGGAAUGUAUCUUAACUCUUUACCACUACUGAGAAAGCAAUAAAUUUAUUUUAUCAUUUAAUCGUCUCGACUUUUUGCUAAACCUAUUUUUUGGUUUGGUUGAGCUAUUUUUGUUGAGAUUGGCCGUGCCUGCUGUCAACUAGGCAAUCAGUAUCACGUACUCAAAACAGAUAUAUAAGCGUAAGUCAAUCCCAAGAAAGCAGCUGUGAGCAGCAUAGAAGCUCUCGUUUGAGCAAGCCCUGACCAUGCUAAAGCGAAAAAUUUCUAGGCACCUUAUUUACAUGUCUAGAUGUCCAACGCUGCUUCACUUAUUGUCAAGGACCAUAUAGAUUCUUUACAGAUUCAAGCAGACCCGAUAACUGUACAAGUAUAGGUGUGUCGAUGGAAAAUGGCAAAUGACAAAAUUUAAGUCUUGGAACUCCCAAAAACAUGUCAUUCGACAGCAACCAUAAUUUAUAGGACUAUACAAUCAAAAUAACCAACAAAAAUGAACUCAAAAUGAUUUUUCUUGGUCUUGUUGGUUUUCAAAAUUCAGAAGUGACUGCUCUGGAAUGACGUGGCAAAAUGUUAUAGGACGAGCUAGAAGAAAAGAUUUCACAACCCGGUUAGUUCUAAGGUCCUCGACUCCUCGUGAUUAGCAUGCUUCAAAGAUUCUUUUUGCCUUCCUGUUCUAGUUCUGUUUCUGCAAUGUGAAAUACGAUCCAAUAUUAUUAUCGCAAACAGAUUUUCAAACUGUAAAAACAUAGAAACUGCUGCAAUCUCGCAUUGUUUUGAACGUGUUUAGCCAUGGACACCCACAAAAGAGAAAGGAAAAACUGAAACUAAACAUAUUCGUAACAGAAGUAAAAAUCCUGGUCGUCACUGAACUUUUACCAAGUUUUCAUGUAUUCAAAGUUGGUCACAGACUUGAUCAUUCUUACCAUUUGGUUACUGAACUUAAAAAUUUGUUACUAUUUGGUCCUUCCCUCCAUUACUGUUUGCCAAACUAUCGAAAAAGAUGAAGUGACAGUCUAGUUGGUACCCUAGUCAGAAAAUAACUCAACUGCCACAUGACCUAUUUCAGUAGUCAAGCUAAUGUACCUGGUGACCAAAUUAUAACAAAAUCAAAGUUCAGUAACCAACUUAAAACAAAAUGAAGUUUAGUGAUCAUUAACGUAUUUAACCUACUUCCCACUCUUUUAAUGUUUACUGGACAUCACAGUGAAGUUGGGAAAAUAGAAGACAUGUCAUCACCUUUUAUGCUUCCACGAGUGAUAAGUUUGUUGAGAAAACCACGAAACCUGGUUAAUACAAGUCUUUCUUGUUCUGAAUAUACGUGGUCUGACCCAUGCAAAUUCAUAUUUGUCCUUGUAUUCGAUCCCGAAAUACUAGAUGGAAUGUCGACUUUAGUGAACACGAUAUCGUUUUCAUCACACAUUAAUGCAAGUGUUCCGGGAGACACUGGCCGUUCAUUCUGAAAUUCACCUGUAGUUGACUCUGAUAAGGAAGUUUGAACUCCAUUUUCAUGGUUUCCAGGCAAUCUCCGAGCACUGGGUUGCUUUUGAAUGUCUGCAAUUUCAGCUUUUUCCAAAGUGGCCUUAUCAGUAUUGCUUGUUCUCUUUUCUUCUGAAAACCAGAAUGCAAAAUAUUAGAUAAGUAAAGCCUAAAUUUCACAAGGGAUGUAUCCAUCCCAUUUUUUCUAGUCACCUGAAGGUAGAAGAUAAAAGUGGUAGGAGAUUUACGGUACAGACCACUUCUUCUUUUAAUAAGGCAAUUUGUAAAGCACGGACACAGUCAUGGACACAACACAAACAUGUCCAUCAAAAUGAUGCAUUUAUACACGUUAUAUAUUUAUCUUUUUACUUGUUUAUUUUUUACAAAAUCAACACUCUUUUUAGCUUUGAUUUUGAUUUUGGAGGUGAAAUGUUUUGAAUAAGAGUAGCAGUUGUAUUUUGUAUCACUUGCAAAAACAAAAUCUAACUAAUCAUGCAUCAAAAAUUGCCUACACUGAAUAUAAACAAAUUCAACCUCAAAUUCCCAAAAUUUUUCUCCCGCAUUAUUUUGAUUUUUACCGUCACCAAAGUGUCAGAAGAGUGUUCAUGCUUCAUAGAAGGAAAUGCAAGACAAAGUAGGAUAUUAAGCUCCUUGUCUAUUCAUAUUAUUCAGGGAGCACAAUUUGUAAAUUCAACUGAAAACUCAUCCUUUAGUAGCCUCAAACUUGAAUAGAAUCCAUAUGACCAGAACUAUUUCAACCUCUAGCUUCUACAAGGCCAUCUUUCUGUUAACCCAUCUUUAGAAUGGUCAGACUACACAUCUUUUCGAGCCCUUUUGCGUCCAAAACGUACUCUCUCGAUCAAGUUGCUUCUCAGUGUUGUCUUUCAAUCAUAUAUAAAAUAAAUUUCCCUCUAUGAAAAACUCUUGUAAAGGUAUUUUGGGUGUACUUAAAAAUUAUGUGAACAAUAACAUAGAAACAACACACUGAGGCCACUUAAGAUCACGUUGAGACACAGUGGAGGGCACUUUUAAUCUCAAAUGUAAAUUAAAAACCAAAAACUUUGAUUUUAAAUGUUAGCACGACCAGUUUUCGGUGCCAAACGCUACUGAGUGGAUGCACUCUCCCCAGCAUUUUUUGGCAUAAAAUAAUUGAAACUUUCCUACGCUAGUCUACAUAAUCAUUUUAGAAAAAGAUGAGAUUCAGCAAGCCAAAAUGAUUAUUAGAGCUUGAAUUUACCUGAACGAGACUUUGCAGCUUCUGCUGAAACUGCGACUAAAAGUGAGCAGAACUCCUCAACAUGUCGUGGUUGGAGAAUUCCAGCCAGAGGAGACCUUUAAAUCAUAAGAAACCAGUCAAGAUUCUGUUUUGAAAGGAAAAUAGUGCGGCUGUUCAUAACUUUUAUUACCAGAGGAAAAAGAAAUAAGUGGAAUAAUUUGAAUUAAAAAUUAAAUCUAUAACCAAAAAAGUUCCCAAAAAAAAAUUACCUAUAAGAGGAUUUUGAAAGUCUGAACACUGCUGUAGACUUAGGUCCGGAUGUGUGAACCGAUGAUGUGGAACAAGAGGCACCUGAAGUUAAACAAGUUUCCUGAAUGAACAGAAAAAUGUAUGUUGAGAAUGUCUAAAAGCUUAAAAGUUUACUUAUUAAGUAAAUCAGUUUUCAAAGAAAUGAUUUUCUAUUGGUAUAAAUAUUAAAUUGGAAAUAAGCAAGCUAUUUAUUUUAAGAGUAAAGAUUAAAGAAAGAGUUACUUUCAAAAUGAGUAACUCUUUCUAUUUAUAAGCAAGAAAAAGUAACAACAUUUUUGGAAACAAAGUUACUUGAAAGUAACUAAGUAACUUUUAGGCUUAGCUAAACAUGCUAUUAGUUCUAUUGGGCAGAUACCUCAUCAAAUGCAUGGUAAUACUAUCGUUGAACAGUUUGUCCAGCUUGCAAUUGAAUAUGAUAAAGAGUUAUAUCUUCAAUAUCAAUGUUCUAUCUUCUUCACAGUUGAGACCAUGAAAAAGAUGAUUCACUUGGAGCAUGUUUGGCUAAGCUUAAAAGGUUCAGAUAUGAGUAAAUAAGUAAGUUUAGAAAUAAACAUUUCUUUUAAUUGGUAAAAAAAGCUGGAAAUAAGUCACUAAUUGACAUGAAUUUAAGAGUUACUUCCAUAAUAAUAAUCCUUUUUUACUUAAAAGCAACAAAAAAGUAAUAUAUCCAAAUAUGCACCGGAUGAAUUUGUGAAACCCUGCUAUUGGAUUGAUUAUCAGUUGUCGACCCAAAAACGAUCUGCUGAUUUCCAUUUCUUUUGCUCUGUGAUAAUCCAAAACCAGAUAGCCCAAUGGCUUCAUUAAUGACAGCAUUGGCUGCUUGUUGCAUGCAGGUCAUAGAAUUCAUAGGAUGUCCAUGAAAAAGAGCCUUUCUCUCUUCACUUCCUUUAAAGUUUUUACAGUCGAGGCAUUUACAGUUUUCAGAGCAUAGAAUAUUGGCUUGGAAGCACUCACAGUACUUCUUGAGGCAUCCAGAUUUUUUACAAUUGCAUCCUUUGUUAUGUUUUCUUUCCACUGUAAGCUCACCUCCCUCUACCUGGAUUUCUUUGAAACAGUUAGAAACAAGCAAAUAUAAAUUAAACAAUCAAAAUGAAAAUAUAUAAUUAUAAUGAUGUCAAUUAAGAACAAUAAUUGCCAUAAUGUUAUACUUCUUACUAAACUCACAUUCAUCUUUUGGGAUUUUCCAUCUUAACCUUUGAGGAGAAGAGAUGAAUAUCUUGAAAAAUUACACCCAAAUACUCACGUAGAAUUAGACUUAUUAAAGCAGUAGCAUCUUUUCUGUCUCUGCUGGAAUUAGAAAGUCAACCCUCCUCGAAAAUCUUCUUUGAUGAUACUUGAAAUAUUGAUUCAUAUUGUCAAAAACUAGAAAUUUGGCAAAGUAUUUUCAAAAUCUGUGAAUUGAAUACAUUUUGUGCAUCAUCGCUAUCAUAGUUAAACGUUGACCGUGCUAGAUAGUUUAAACCAGUGGAAAGAGAGAUUACAAACAAAAUGAUGCUUUAAUGAGCUUUACAUUUCUUCUCAUCAAAGAAAAAUGCACACACUGUCAAAAUUAGUUUCAAUUGCCUCUCAAUGGAGGGUUUUCAUUUUAUUAUAAAGAAGAGAACUGCAAAGUACACAGCUGACUUACAAGUAAUUAAAGUAAUUUGUCUACUUAAAUAUGGUAAGAACUAAUUAGCCUAUAUAUAAAAUACUAAUUAGAAUAUAUGCAGAUUUGGACAAGAAUAACCUCUAAAUCAAGAGUUGCCAUAUCUGUCUAACAUCUCCUCAAAUUGAUGCUGAUCGUUGUGAUCGAUCAAGAAGAGUAUCAAUUUGUCAAUCAUGAAUUGAUGGUGGUGGCAAAAUAAGACUGAAAAAAAAAUUAUUAGUCUGAUGCUCGAUGGAGAUGCAAGGAAGUUUAAUCUCAUGUUGAUCGAGGGCUUUACGAAUAGAUUGACAAUCUACUUCAAUAUGCUUUAUGCGAUCAUGAAUUAUUAGAUUUGCAACAAUCUGAAUAGCACUGGUGUUAUCAGCACGAAAUGGCGUAGGAGAAUUUGGGGGAUACCAAGUUCACCUAACAAACCCGGAAGUCGUACGAUCUCUGAACAGGCUAAUGACAUAAAGUUUCCAAAAAUUGAAAGCAUCACCAAGAAAUAUGCACAAACUAGUUUCUGAGCGAUGAGAAUCCAAACAACCCAAUCAACAUCAUAAUAAUCCAUUAACUGUAAGGAAUUUCCAAUGGAAAAAAUAACCAUCGACCAAAUGUACCUUUGAGGUAACAAAGAAUUCAUCGAACAGCUGCUAAAUGAGAUUGACGAGAAGCCUAUAUAAGCUGACUGACUUGCUAUACAACAAAUGAAAUAUCAGAUCGAGUAAUCGCCAAAUAGUUCAAACUCCCUAUAAACCGUCGAUACGUAAAAGUUCCAUUAAUGCUAACUAAGCUUUACAUUGACCUCUAAAUGUGUAUGUACGGAAUUUCAAGAUUGAAGACUAGCUAAGGUGAAAAUCUCUUGGGUACACUUGUGUUGAUGCAAAAGGAGACCACUUGGACAAUGAUGCACCUCAAAACGAAGCAAAUACUGAAGAAGACCAAGAUCCUUCAUAUGAAGGGUAGUAUUGAGAUGCUGUUGUAGUUGCUCAAUCAGCUGAGUAUCAGACCUUGCGAUGAUAAUUUCAUCCAUAUAUACUAAAAUCAAAACAAGGCCAAAGGCAGUUCUCUUAAGAAAUAUAGAAUAAUCAAAAUGACUUUCGAGUAGAAUGAAAAUCAAGCAGAGUGAUACGAAACUUCUCAAACCAUGCACACAAGACUUGCUUCAAUCUAUAUAGAGGCCGCUUUAACCGACACACCUCAGUGGAAGAGUGAGAGAACAUACUAGAAGGAGGACUUAUAUAUAUUUCCUCCUUCAAAUCCAUAUGUAAAAAUGCAUUCUUUAAAUCCAUUUGCCAGAGAGACCAUUCUUUAGAAGUGAUCAUUGCCAUAAUAGUCCUCACGGUAGUCAUCUUCACAACAGGCACAGAUGUCUCCUCAUAAUUAAGGCCAUACUCCUGAAAAUUCCCAAGAGCCACCAAACAGGCCUUAUACCUCUCUAUAAUACCAUCAUGCCAAAGUUUGAUGGUAUAUACACAUUCGUAUCCGAUGAGCUUUACUCUAUCAGGACAUGAAAAGAUGUCCCAUGUAUUAUUAUCCUGAAAAGCCUAAAGUUCUUUUUGAAUAUUUUGCCACCAACAUGCAUGUGUAGAAGCUUUAAAGAAAUAUUUAGGCAUGGAACCAGUGUCAAGAGUAGCUUGAUGAGUGUUAUAUGAGAACCCAUACUUAUUUGGAGGGCGUGAAACCGGAGAAGACCAUCGAAGUUUAAUGAUGAAAGGAUUAGCAUCAGUUCUUUGUUAGAAAUGAGCUGUUGAGACGGUAAAGAACGUCUCUGGUACACAAAUUCGAGCCUAAAGCGUCAAUAAUACAAAACAUAUCAAACUAGUUGAAUAGAAACAAAAUCAUAAAUACCGUGAGAUUGAAAAAAAAAUAUAUAUUAGGUUUCAAAGAAAAUCACAUUUCGAGAGAUACGAAGCUUGUUAGCAUCCGUAUCAUAAUACAUAAACCCUUUAUGUGCAUUACUAUACCUUAGGAAUGCACAUCGAGCUGACUAAACAGCAAGCUUAUAAUGUUCGAUGAAAGAUAAAUGGACAAAACAAACAAAACCUAAUAUAUGAAAGGAAACAAACAAACGAGAGUACGACGACUCAAAUUGUAAAUUUUGAGAGCGGAAAUGAUUAACCAAAUAAACAGUUGUGGGUAAAGUUUUUACCCACAAUUUAGGAGGCACGGAAGAUUCAAUUAAUAAAGUAUUAAUAACAUCCAAAAGAUAACAAUUCUUACACUAAACAACCCCAUUCUGUUUGGUAUGCAAGGACUGGAACGUUGGGGAGAGAAUCUCUUUUGUUUUGAGAUAUUCUUGAAAUUCAUUGUAUAGUUAGAGCAUAGUGUCUUAAUACUAGCAAAAAAUUGAGUCUCAACAAAGGUGUCGCGAAAAUCCCUCGAGAAAUCUUGAUUUCCGGCUCAAAAAACAAUCAAACAAACACCAGUUUACCUCGAAUCGACCCAAACUUCCACACUUGGUUGCCACAAGAUUUGCAUCCACAAAGGAUGGUGGUGGUGGUGGUGGUGGUGAUUUGCAAGCCACAAAGGCAAGGGAAAACAAAGAGGUAGCAAUGGUAAUCACUCAACCAAGAAACGGCUCCUCACUAUGUUUCUCUCUCUUCAAAAUACACAUACACCAUCCACAUCCGGUUGCAAAAAGAAGCAUAAUAUAUAGAUUAGGUUUUAGGUUUGGACUUGUUCAUUUAAAUGGGCCAAAGGUAUAUCUCUCUCAAUAGGCUAAGUUAUUGGACCAACAAUAAUCCAAAACCACACACUAAUCAAACCACCAAUCCAACUCCAACUUGGGCCUUCCAAAACUGUCGGUCGUAUUCGAGUCGAGCCAAGUCCAUGGUGUCGAUAAAUUAUUCGACAACUGUUUUAAAUCAUCACCCGAAUUUAUUGGGUAUCAAAACCCAACAAAUCUCCACCUUGAAGCCCAAUAAAUCUGCAAGCAAUCAAAAUACAAAAUUUAUACUUGCACAAUCAAGAUAAUCCAAUAAAAUUGGAAUCACGGAUUUUACCUCGUGUUUCCAACCUGAAUAAUAUAUCAUACUUGCUCCAUUUACUCACCAGGGCUAAGAUCAAGGGCACUCAAGUAAAAGCAGAUAUUCACAAUAAACAAUCAAGAGCGAAUAAACAUGCAAUGGCGAUAUAUUAUAGGAUCACACACAGAUCAUUUCAAAAAACACGUUCACACAGAAUCACAGAUUAACACCAAGUUAAUCAAACACAAGGUCAAACACAUAUGCAACAAAUGAAUAAAUGGCCCACGAAAAGAUCUCACCACAUUUAUCCUAUCUCAUUCCGUGUUACUCACACUUCGAGAACACAUAUCUCUUCUCAUCGCCCCUAUGCUCACUAACCUGAUCGCUCAACUCAUGUUUUACUGGAAAGUCACAAUAAAUCCUAAGUCCACGGGGUAAUCCUCUAUCACCACAUCACUUCACCCAACCUACGUGGAUAAUGGGUUUCCACUAAAUAGAAGUGAUAGAAGUGCCUCUCUCACACUCCACUGUACAGAAUCUCUUCAUAGAUAAAUGAUUCCAACAUUUAAUCACCUCUCCACUCUAAUUCAAAUGUCACACUCCACAUCCCCAUGCAUAUCACCAAUACACUUUCAGGCAUCUAUACUUCACCUCACCAAAAGACAUACAACUCACUGCUAAUGCAUCUCAAACUCACUAUGGCAAAUCAACACCUUUCGACGACCACAAAGGUUAGGGCUCAAUUUAAAAUUGACCUACGCACCACAAGAUUACUCCAAUCACCAAUGCUCAAAAAAUCCACAAAGGAAAUGGUGAAGGUGGCACUCGUAAAGAGAAUAGAAGAAAGAGUUAGUUACUUCACUACACUCACAAAAGAGGACCACAAAGAGAAAGAAGAUAACCUCACAUGGCUGCCUCACACAAUCUCACAAACCAUACAAGCUCACAAAGAUAAAGGAAAAAAGGUUGUCCAUCUUUCUUCUCACUAACACUCACAAAGCAAACGAAGUACGCCGCAAAACUCAACCCACUAUGCAUGCAAACACAUUACACAAAGUAAUAAGAUGACUAAUUAAUGCAAUUACACACGUCAACCAAAUUGAUAGUGUAACAUACCGACGAAACAGAAUUAAGCAAUCACAUGCAUGCAGAAAGGAUUACACAGAUGCAAAUUCACUAACCAAGUUUUCUCUUAAUAAACCUCACACAGGUCAUCACUCGACCUUAUAGCCACAUUCGCCUCACCUCUCUCAUUAUCUUUUCUUUUAUUAUUAUUACCAAAACCAUCUAUCUUAGCAUGUCCAAAUAUUUUCACAGUCAAAACACAUUUUUAUUUUUCGCACUUGCCUUAGACCUAUACACAGGGGCGGAGCUAUGAAGGGUCCAGUGCGGGCAUAUGCCCACACUGAACUUUGGCUCAUUUCCUUUUACACUUCAGUUCUGGGUGCCCACAAACUGGAAGGCAAAAAAUCAUAAAAGUGAGUAAAUCAUCAACAAUGAAAAACACAAGAAGGUGCUAGCUGGGGUGGCGUUUCUGAUAUCUAAUGGAGUUCCCUGCAUGCUUACUGGAAUAUAUAUACAUAUGGAGUGUGAGAGAAAUUGGUUGCAAUCUUGCAAAGAAUUGAUAGAGUGAGAAGAGAGACAGAGAAAGUGAGAGAAAGUGGAUUGAGUGUUGUUAUAGAAAGAGACUGAUCUUGCAACAAAGUGAAUUGGGUGUUGUUGAGGUGGCCUGUAUUGGUCUUUGAUGAGAGAGUGUGUGUUUUGUUACAAAAUAUUACACAAAUUUUCAUAAAUUAAAUUAUUUCUUUAAUAUUUGAAUUUAACAAUUUGAUAUUAGAUAGUAGCAAUCAUAGAUGAAUUUUUGAGCUUUUCGGGUUCGUGUACAAAUGGAAAUUCUAGAGCUUCUAUAAAAUUUGUUUGAUUAUAAAGAAGUAAAUUAAAUCACGAUAGAAAACCUAAAAGUCGUAGACGUAAUGAAAAAGUUCAAUAACAAAAAAUUAUACCACGUGACAAAUUUACAUAGAGUUUUAUCUCAAAGGAUGAGACCUACAGGAAGUAGUUGACGGGAGUGACAAUACCACUAGACAAAAUCAUGGCUCUAUAAAAGUAGAUAAUCAAAACGAGCACGGCUAUGUUUGUCGUAAAGACAAUAAUCGAGAAAGAAUUGUUAGAGCAUGUAAAUGAUACGAUCACAUCAAAAAAAAUAUGCCCGCACUGAAUAAUAAUCCUAGCUCCGCCCCUGCCUAUACAUGUUAUUAAUAUCAAAUAAUGACCACAAGCAAAGUAUAAAUAUAAUUCACAUAAAAUGAUUAAAUAAACUUUCAUAAGGUCACAUGUAAUUCUAACAGUGUAGAAAAAUUAGCAACAAAUUCACAAAGAAUUUAAGGGAAAUAAUUCAUNNNNNNNNNNNNNNNNNNNNNNNNNNNNNNNNNNNNNNNNNNNNNNNNNNNNNNNNNNNNNNNNNNNNNNNNNNNNNNNNNNNNNNNNNNNNNNNNNNNNNNNNNNNNNNNNNNNNNNNNNNNNNNNNNNNNNNNNNNNNNNNNNNNNNNNNNNNNNNNNNNNNNNNNNNNNNNNNNNNNNNNNNNNNNNNNNNNNNNNNNNNNNNNNNNNNNNNNNNNNNNNNNNNNNNNNNNNNNNNNNNNNNNNNNNNNNNNNNNNNNNNNNNNNNNNNNNNNNNNNNNNNNNNNNNNNNNNNNNNNNNNNNNNNNNNNNNNNNNNNNNNNNNNNNNNNNNNNNNNNNNNNNNNNNNNNNNNNNNNNNNNNNNNNNNNNNNNNNNNNNNNNNNNNNNNNNNNNNNNNNNNNNNNNNNNNNNNNNNNNNNNNNNNNNNNNNNNNNNNNNNNNNNNNNNNNNNNNNNNNNNNNNNNNNNNNNNNNNNNNNNNNNNNNNNNNNNNNNNNNNNNNNNNNNNNNNNNNNNNNNNNNNNNNNNNNNNNNNNNNNNNNNNNNNNNNNNNNNNNNNNNNNNNNNNNNNNNNNNNNNNNNNNNNNNNNNNNNNNNNNNNNNNNNNNNNNNNNNNNNNNNNNNNNNNNNNNNNNNNNNNNNNNNNNNNNNNNNNNNNNNNNNNNNNNNNNNNNNNNNNNNNNNNNNNNNNNNNNNNNNNNNNNNNNNNNNNNNNNNNNNNNNNNNNNNNNNNNNNNNNNNNNNNNNNNNNNNNNNNNNNNNNNNNNNNNNNNNNNNNNNNNNNNNNNNNNNNNNNNNNNNNNNNNNNNNNNNNNNNNNNNNNNNNNNNNNNNNNNNNNNNNNNNNNNNNNNNNNNNNNNNNNNNNNNNNNNNNNNNNNNNNNNNNNNNNNNNNNNNNNNNNNNNNNNNNNNNNNNNNNNNNNNNNNNNNNNNNNNNNNNNNNNNNNNNNNNNNNNNNNNNNNNNNNNNNNNNNNNNNNNNNNNNNNNNNNNNNNNNNNNNNNNNNNNNNNNNNNNNNNNNNNNNNNNNNNNNNNNNNNNNNNNNNNNNNNNNNNNNNNNNNNNNNNNNNNNNNNNNNNNNNNNNNNNNNNNNNNNNNNNNNNNNNNNNNNNNNNNNNNNNNNNNNNNNNNNNNNNNNNNNNNNNNNNNNNNNNNNNNNNNNNNNNNNNNNNNNNNNNNNNNNNNNNNNNNNNNNNNNNNNNNNNNNNNNNNNNNNNNNNNNNNNNNNNNNNNNNNNNNNNNNNNNNNNNNNNNNNNNNNNNNNNNNNNNNNNNNNNNNNNNNNNNNNNNNNNNNNNNNNNNNNNNNNNNNNNNNNNNNNNNNNNNNNNNNNNNNNNNNNNNNNNNNNNNNNNNNNNNNNNNNNNNNNNNNNNNNNNNNNNNNNNNNNNNNNNNNNNNNNNNNNNNNNNNNNNNNNNNNNNNNNNNNNNNNNNNNNNNNNNNNNNNNNNNNNNNNNNNNNNNNNNNNNNNNNNNNNNNNNNNNNNNNNNNNNNNNNNNNNNNNNNNNNNNNNNNNNNNNNNNNNNNNNNNNNNNNNNNNNNNNNNNNNNNNNNNNNNNNNNNNNNNNNNNNNNNNNNNNNNNNNNNNNNNNNNNNNNNNNNNNNNNNNNNNNNNNNNNNNNNNNNNNNNNNNNNNNNNNNNNNNNNNNNNNNNNNNNNNNNNNNNNNNNNNNNNNNNNNNNNNNNNNNNNNNNNNNNNNNNNNNNNNNNNNNNNNNNNNNNNNNNNNNNNNNNNNNNNNNNNNNNNNNNNNNNNNNNNNNNNNNNNNNNNNNNNNNNNNNNNNNNNNNNNNNNNNNNNNNNNNNNNNNNNNNNNNNNNNNNNNNNNNNNNNNNNNNNNNNNNNNNNNNNNNNNNNNNNNNNNNNNNNNNNNNNNNNNNNNNNNNNNNNNNNNNNNNNNNNNNNNNNNNNNNNNNNNNNNNNNNNNNNNNNNNNNNNNNNNNNNNNNNNNNNNNNNNNNNNNNNNNNNNNNNNNNNNNNNNNNNNNNNNNNNNNNNNNNNNNNNNNNNNNNNNNNNNNNNNNNNNNNNNNNNNNNNNNNNNNNNNNNNNNNNNNNNNNNNNNNNNNNNNNNNNNNNNNNNNNNNNNNNNNNNNNNNNNNNNNNNNNNNNNNNNNNNNNNNNNNNNNNNNNNNNNNNNNNNNNNNNNNNNNNNNNNNNNNNNNNNNNNNNNNNNNNNNNNNNNNNNNNNNNNNNNNNNNNNNNNNNNNNNNNNNNNNNNNNNNNNNNNNNNNNNNNNNNNNNNNNNNNNNNNNNNNNNNNNNNNNNNNNNNNNNNNNNNNNNNNNNNNNNNNNNNNNNNNNNNNNNNNNNNNNNNNNNNNNNNNNNNNNNNNNNNNNNNNNNNNNNNNNNNNNNNNNNNNNNNNNNNNNNNNNNNNNNNNNNNNNNNNNNNNNNNNNNNNNNNNNNNNNNNNNNNNNNNNNNNNNNNNNNNNNNNNNNNNNNNNNNNNNNNNNNNNNNNNUAAAACAAAUGAUACAAUUUACUCCUGACAUGAUGAAGCAAAGUAGAAAAUUUAACAACUCAAGUCCAAUAAAAUAGCAAGCCCAGCUCCAUAACUAAAGCCUAAUUCAAAAGUUAUCCUCAAUCCAACAACAAAUAAAUCCAAUCACAACCCAAUGCCCAUUAUGAAAUUGAUCCAAUAACAAACAAAUCCAAACCCUAUAUCAGUUCAGCUAAAUAAAAGGAAAGCCCAAACCCAACAACAAAUAAAUCCAAACCUAUAUCAAUUCAGCCCAACAAAGAAAAGCCUAAACCAAAUGAUACCUACCCAGAAAUUUGAUACUGCAGAUUAACCAUGCUCCGAUCAAUAGACACCACCAACAAAAAAACCUAAGAAUGGAAUCCUAUCGACACGCCAAGAACAGAUGCUCCGACUGAAGAGCCGCUCCAGAAAACUCCCAAGAACGACGACUUCCUAUAGAUUACACCACACCAGAAAUGGAACUGGAAAACGAGCCACAGAAAACUCCAACAACCCAGAAGGCACUGCACUUUACUUACCAAAAGUUGCUGAAAGAACCUCUAAUGAGGUUUCCGACAGCCCAAAACCAAAAAAUUUCUCAACAGAAGCAAAAAUUGUUAACCGCGAUAAUACUUUAAAAAUUUAAGAGGGCUCUAAUACUAUGUCAAAUUGGUUUCAUUUGUCUCUCAAUGGAGGGUUUCCAUUUCAAUAUAAAGAAGAGAAUUGCAAAGUACAUGGCUGACUUGCAGGUAAUUACAAUAAUUUGUCUACCUAAAUAUGGUAAGAACUAAUUAGGAUAUAUACAGAUUUGAACAAGAAUAACCUCAAAAUCAAGAGUUGUUGUAUCUGUAUAACACAUACGUGGACAUAAUCAAACAAAGUAGCUUGAGAAAGGAUGAAAUAAUGGUUAGUUGCUUGUUUAUAUGGAUAUUUAACCAGGAAAUUAAUAAUAUUAUUUAAGGAAAUCUACAAAAAUAAUAUGCAAAAUUUGUAAGGUUGUUAGAUGAAAUUUGGCUCUUUAGGUUACAUGUAUAAAAUUACUUCGUUUUUGCAAAUAAAUUUAAGGCAACAUAUGGAAUGAUAUGGAGCCCAUAAGAGUUCAAAUUCAUACAUACAAAAAAAUGCUUCAUAAAUUGAGGGCUCAAGUUACAUACCAUACUGUCUCUGGCCUUGUGUGGACUGUUAGCAAUCUUUGGUUUAAAGGCCUCUGGAUUUCGCUCUUUAAUUACAUCCAUUACAUCUUUUCUAUCAGACUCGUGUUCUAUGUUAUUGUGACAAUUUAAGCAGUUGCAUCCAUCACAGUAAGUCCCAGAGGAAAAGCACUCACAGUACCUGUUGGUCAACAAUGUUUGCUUAUUUCGAAAUCUGUACACUUGUUUUAACAAAAGAGAAUAUUUAUGCUAAUAUCAUCUAUUAAAAUAGUCGGUCUGAUAUUUAGGUGCAAGGACGAGUUGAAUAUACUGAUCGCAGUCCCACCAAACAAGCACAGAUUGGCAAAUAAGCAUAGAAACAGGUAAAGGAAUGGAAGAACAUCCUGCACCUUCUAUGAUCCAUUCUCUCUACAGCCAACCAAGAUCAAAUUAAGACAUGUCAUAAAAGACAAAAAGAAAAGAAAAAAAUGAAAGAGCAAAAGGAAGAAAAACAGAAAGGGAUGAUAGAAGGUCAAAUAGAAUGAAAAGGGUUUAUAACACAUGUUACGUGAUUAUUUAGAAUCUACAAAACAACCACAUGACCUGAGAUGUAUAUUUAUCUGUACAUGCAUGGUCCAAACACGAAAAAAUUAAGGGACAGGAUGUGGUAGCACACACAAAAAAGGCAGAACAAAACUCUCUGUUUUAUUUAAAUUAGAAUCUCACCUUGAAAUUUAUCAGGAGGCGGACAGUAAUAAGUAAAAAAACCGCGAGGAAUUUAUCUUCAUAUCAGAUAUGUCAUCGAGAGUAUUUUUUUUUUUUUUUUCCUCUUUUUUCACAAAUGAUUGGGUGAGAUGAAUGCCGGUUUCAGUAGAAGAGAAUAAGUGAAUAUACCUCCCUACUGCCAAAAUUUUAUUAAAGAAAGCUGCUAAUCAAAUGAGGGAUUGUACUUACAAUUUCAAGCAUCGCGAACUUUUGCAAUUGCAUUGCUUUUUCUUCUUUGGAGUGCCCUCCAUUUGCUCCAUAUUACACCGUUCACGUGAUUUUGGAGAUGCUACUUUCCUGAAGAAGCAAAAAUACAUUUUUUUGUCUUCACUAUUAGAUUGUAGUUACACAUAUCCUGUAAAAUUAUGGUUCAAUACUUCAAAAAGGUUAUUUAAGUUUAAUCUUCAACAAGUGUCUCAUGGGCAUGAUUUUUCAUCAAAGGCUUGAUAUGGGCAACGGGCACUCAUAGUUUUCACAAUUAGGCUGUGACAAAACUGGAAUCAGGUCGUUUGCAUUCUAUGUACCAUAUUCUCACUGAACGGCGAAAAAACAGAUGCCCAAAAUUUGAUCUUUUAGUUUUAAUCAAGUUAAUUGUUCCAAUGGUCACUAAACUUAGGUCUUCUUUGAUUGACCACUUUAAAAUGUCGAGUUUUGAUCACUGAAUUUUGAAAAAUAUNGUUCCAAUGGUCACUAAACUUAGGUCUUCUUUGAUUGACCACUUUAAAAUGUCGAGUUUUGAUCACUGAAUUUUGAAAAAUAUUGAGUUUUGGUCACUGAACUUAGAUCAAUGUCUUCGAUUGCUCACUGAAAUUUAAAAAGUCAAGUUUUGGCCACUGAACUUUGAAAAUACUGUACAUUACUCACUGAACUUCGAAAAAUGUUGUACAUUAUUCACUGUAAACUCAAUAUUUUUUCAAAGUUUAAUAGUCAUUCUAGUAAGUAAUGUACGGCAUAUUCCAAAGUUCAGUGGUCAAAAAUCGACAUUUUACAUUUCAGUGAACAAUCUAAGACAUGGACCUAAAUUCAUUGAGCAAUCGAAGAUAUUGACCUAAGUUUAGUAACCAAAACUCGACAUUUUAAAUCAAUCAAAAGACAUUGAUCUAAGUUCAGUGACCAAAAUCUACCAUUUUUCAAAAUUCAGUUGCCAAAACUCGACAUUUUAAAGUUUAGUGGCCCAUCAAAGACACGGACACAAGUUCGGUGACUACUGGAACAAUUAACUCCUUUUAAUCCAUCAAUAUUCAAAAUUCAAUCCCAACAGCAAAGCGAAAACAACAAUUAAACUAGGGAAAAAUUAUGCACAUAAAACCGAAGGCCUUACACUAUUGGCUGCAUUGUAGGUUUAUGCCGAGGCACCGGCAUGGGUUUCACGGGGCGAGCUAACCGCGGCGCUACUGGCGUCACUGUUCCUGGCGGAGAUUUAAGUUGUGCCACCACUGUCGGCGGCGAUUGAGAACUUGCAUUGGCAUGCAAUUUCUUCGGCUGCGAUAAGGCCAGCAACUUGGACUGUAACUGAGCCUGCGGAUGCUCCGGCAAUAUCACAUUCCCAUUGAAACUCGCUCCCGAAUCUAGCAUUGAGGCUUUAAAAUUAACCGUGAAAUCCAACUGCUUCUUCGCAGCGGUAAACUCCGCCUUCUCCGGCGCCGGGGACGCCUUUUCACUCUGCCCCAUCACCCAAAAUAUCGAAUCUGUAAAUGAAAACAAAAUAAACUUUCUCCAAUUGCAUGCACUCAAGUUACAACAUUUUUCCUGCGAAAAUUACAUGGGAAUCCCUCCAAUUCUUAGUUUAACAAGCUGCCCUUUCACGCUCUUGUACUUAAAAAUGAAAAUUUUUCUUCAAAAUUGAUGGCCCUCUCUUAUCCCUCAAAUUGUUUGCCAAAAAUUAAUCAAGAUUUGGUUCGAAAAAGAAACAGAUAAUGGGUUAAGAUUUUUCAAACAGGGAUUUGAAUUAACGAGAUAGCUCAUAAGGUUUUAUAUUUAAGUAGAAUUCUCUUUAUACACUAUUUUGAAAUUUCAGUUUGCACGGAAUGGACGGAUGGAUGAGCAAUGGGAUAUGAUUGGACGGAUGAGACUUAAAGUUCUGAUCAGAAGGUGACAUUUGCUAGGAGUCGUUGGAUUCCGACUUAAAGGACUUUAGAGAACUGUAAAAAGGCUCGAAAUUUUGGCGCUAAAAAAAAAAAAAAAUUAUUAUGCGGUACAACACUACAACUUGCUGAUGUACACGUGGACGGUCCAGAUUGAUUUAGCAGACGCGUGGAUUUCGGCGAAGAGUUUGAUUAUGGAGAAAACUGCGAAGAUCUGUUAGGAGACUGAAUUUGAUGAAAGAUUUAUGUUUUAUGUUUGUGAAAUAAUAAAAUAAAGAUUUUAGGUAAUUGGCCUUUGAAAACUUAGAUAAUAAAUUAAGCCCGUUUGGCCCUGCUUUUUUCAAAUUGAUAUGGGUGGAAUAGUAUUUUUUUGAAAAAUGAAUUAUUGAAAAAGAAGGAAAAAUUUUCGAUUUACGUGUAAUAUUAUUUUAUAGAAGAUUGUGUAAUUGAAAAUAAGAAAGAAAAAAAUCUAAUUUAAUUUAAUGGGGACCAAACGGAGGCUAAUAAUGGUUAUGAAUCCUGUGAAAUAUAUAUAUAUAUAAGAGUAUAGGUCCUAUUUGAGUCACAUUUUUUGGAAAAAAAUAUAUUAUUCAAUAGUGAUUUAAAUUUAUUUUAACUACACAUUUUUAAUAAAAUAAUAUUACACGCAAAUUUAAAAAAUUUUCUUAUUUUUUAACCACACAUUUCCUAUUAAUAUACUAUUUAAUUCAUUCCAAUAAUGUGGCUCAAACAUGGGCAUAAUAAUCGCUUCCCAAACACGUAUUUCUCAUGUUUUUCAAUUCUUUAUAAAGUACAGUUUAAAAGGACAACUCAUCUAACAUAAACGUUUUUAUUAGCAUUAUCGUUUAAUUUUUGUUGACACCAGAAUAUGUUGUCAACAGAUAUCGAAUCCAACCGCGCGUACGUAAGCUUGGUUCAAGACGCUAAAACACGUGGAUGGUCUUAAACGGACAGAUCAAGGGCGUGGGAGUAGCUCAACGAUGUGGGAUGAAGACGUUUGGAAUUCGACUAGAUGUUCGUAAAUCGAUUGUACAAUAAUUACCAAUCGAUGUUUAUAAAUGUGUAUGUGAAAAUGUGUAAACGCGUAUUGUGUUGCAAAAUAAUAAGAGAGAUUUGAGUAAAGUCUUGCUUCUUCUAUUGAUUCUUGCUUUACCCUUGUAAGAGAUACAUGAAGAGUAUUUAUAGUAUUAAAACUUAGAUCGUGGCCCUUGGUUGGGAGUACACGUAGCCUCAUCUCGUAAUUUUACAUGUCCAAUUAUAGGUGUCACAUUUGACUUCCUAGCCUGUUGCACAUUAAUUAACUGGCGGCUCUGCCACUAUAUUGACAAGACAAUGCACUUGUGCUCUAUGAUGGGUGUCCCAUCAAUCACUCAGGGAAGAUCCUUAUGUAAGACCGGAUCUCUGGGGAACAGUGCUACUUAAAGCCUCAGGAUUUCGGGAUAGAAUGGCCUCGGCUACGAGAUCUCCUCGGCGUAUUAGCUUCGGUGGCAGCACUUGGACCAUGCCUGGUGCUAUUAUAAUAUGCUAGUGUUAUUAUUGGGAUGGGGGCCUUGGAUAAGAUACCACGUGGUUCAACAGAAAGUGGGUCAUGGGCCCCAAUGGGUCGGCUAAGUGUUUCAACACGUAACAAUAGUUCCGCAAAUACAAGUAUGGUCAUUUUAUGUAAUACGUGGACUUUUAUUAUGGUAAAGGGUGUGGGGUAAAAACUGAGAAAUUUUUUGUACCUUAGCUAAUAGUCACCCAAGUUCAAGUAUAGAUAUUUAUAUCAUGGUUGAAGUUGAAAGUGGUGGUGUUGCUGUGGUUGGAAAAGGUGACUGAACUGCGAGGAAGCAAAAGAAGAAGCCGAGGGCGGUGUGUUGAUUGAACAUGCCGAGGCUUGUGAAGUGGCUGAAUCUACGUAGAAGUAGAAAGGGAAGCCGAGACGGUGAGUUGAUUGAACAUGCAGAUGCUUGUGAGGUAGUUGAAUUUGCGUAGAAGCAAAAAAAGAAGCCGAGGCGGUGUGUUGAUUGAACAUGCUGAGGCUUGUGAAGUGGCUGAAUCUGCGUAGAAGCAGAAGAGGAAGCCGAGACGGUGUGUUGAUUGAACAUGUCGAGGCUUGAAAAGUGGCUGAAUUUGCAUAGAAGCAGGAGAGGAAGCCGACGCGGUAAGUUGAUUGAACAUGUCGAGGCUUGUGAGGUGGGUGAAUUUGCGUAGAAGCAGAAGAAGAAGUCGAGGCGUUGUGUUGAUUGAACAGGCCGAGGCUUGUGAAGUGGUUGAAUCUGCGUAGAAGCAAAAUGGGAGGCCGAGGCGGUGUGUUGAUUGAACAUGUCGAGGCUUGUGAAGUGGCUGAAUUUGCGUAGAAACAGGAGAGGAAGCCGAGACGGUGAGUUGAUUGAACAUACCGAGGCUUGUGAGGUGGGUGAAUUUUUGUAGAAGCAGAAGAAGUCGAGGCGGUGUGUUGAUUGAUCAUGCCGAGGCUUGGGAGGUGGGUGAAUUUGCGUAGAAGCAGAAUGGGAGGUCGAGGCGAUGUGUUAAUUGAACAUGCCGAGGCUUAUGAAAUGGCUGAAUCUGCGUAGAAGCAGAAUGGGAGGUCGAGGUGGUGUGUUGAUUGAACAUGCCGAGGCUUGUGAAGUGCUGAAUCUGCGUAGAAGCAAAAUGGGAGGCCGAGGCGGUGUGUUGAUUGAACAUGCCGAGGCUUGUGAAGUGGCUGAAUCUGCGUAGAAGUAGAAAGGAAAGCCGAGGUGGUGUGUUGAUUGAACAUGCCGAGAAUUUGCGUAGAAGCAGAAGGGAAAGCCGAGACGGUGUGUUGAUUGAACUUGCCGAGGCUUGUGAAGAUGUUGUUUUCGAUAUUUUGCCAAUGAUUUGAUAUUUUGUGCAUGUUACCAAGAAAAGGCAGUCGAACCGUUUCGACUUCCAAGGCAUGUAUGGCUACAGCAUUGAAUGCGCAAUGAUGGUUACAGGUGGACCUUCUAGAAGGAGACGCGUUUGAAGAGGUAUGUGAGGAGCACGUUCGAAUCUGAGACGAAGAUUUCAAAACAAUUUAAAUUCUACGCUUCGGAUUUAACACUGAAUUGGAGGGCUGAGAUUCAUGAGGCCUUCAUCCAAGGGAUGGAGUUUGUCUUGGCUCUCUAUAAAAGGCUAAAGAUUUUCAUUUUGAACCCUUCUUCACGGUUUGUUUGAUGUGUUUUCUGCCUUUCGUUGUUUCUGGCGUCCAAAGUUGUCCUCCAAUUUCAAACUCCGGCGUUUCGCAGUUCGUUGUUUGUUAGUCAUUCCCGUAGGAUUUUUUUUUUUUUUUUUUUGCAAGGAUCAUUUCUUCUGUGAUUUUCCAAACUUUUUAUAUGGAGUCCACUUCGGGUAGAGAAUUAGUGACCAUAGCUAGGUUGGGUGAGGGGGCUGUCUGAGUGGGGAAUCUGAGGUGGAGUAUUACGCCAUGGCCAGGAGCCUAUAGAUUAUGAUGAAGAAUUGGGGGCUGCUAGGAUAGUGUCAAACAUAACCCUGAAGAAGUUGGAGGAAAUUAGGGAGAAAUAUUGCGUCCCCCAUUACGUGGAGAUGUUAGUCCCCAAGGCCCACGAAAGGGCAUGUUUUCCGAGGCCCGGAUGUGUGGCUGUAAGUGAAUACUUGUUCAAGGCAGGUAUGCGUCUUCCUCUGUACCCCUUCUUUAGGGCUGUGCUUAGAAACUUUAUGUUGUCACCGACCCAGGUUCUGUCGAAUGGUUGGAGCCAGCUAGUGGGGUCAUAUUUUUUGUGGAAAGAAGUGUCGUUAAGGGAGGAUAUGCAUCUGCACGUCUUUCAGACCCUUUUUCAGCCUCGUGUGUUGAGUAAAGACGAGUCGAGGGUGUGGUAUUAUCUCACACCCUGGGAGGCUCACGCACCCUUCGUGGUGGGGUUGCCUUUUUCCAUCAAGAGAUGGAAUGAGUUGUGGUUCUGGGUUCAGGAAAAGUGGCAGGCGGUUGAGGGGGAUAAGGUCGUGGAUUGCACAGUACCGACCCAGUACUACGAAGCUCGUGAGUGACCAAGUUUGAGAUUAAAUUUUCUAAGUAGCUUCUUAAUUGUCUGCUAACUAUUGCCACUUAUUUUGCAGAUUCAAGUAUGAGGUUUAAGCUCCGCAAGGGGGAGUUCGAGGUCAUAGAGGACAUAUAUAUGCGACCUUUAAAGCUUCACCACUUUGACCACCUCAUUGACCGAAGUCGAUACUUCAUAGAUUUUGAAUUGAUGGCCUCCAAGGGUAAAAAGUGCGUUCAUUUGAUCAAAUUUGUACUUAAUUGACAUUCAAUGUUGACCUAUUGUAUCUAAAGAUAAAUUCAAGAGAAGGGAGUACCCCGUCCCAGACAUGGCUUCGAUUCUGAGGGCAACUUCUACAGCGGGGAUGAGGCCCCUGAAGCCAAGCUCCGAUGUGGCGAAGGAGCUCAGGGGCCAGUUGGAGAGGCUGUCCAAGGACGACAGCUCUAGGGGGUCCGUGGAGGAGACCCCCCAUAAGUCAGAGAAAGCGAAGGAGGCUCGGGGUAAAGAAAAGGUCCCUGAGGACUUCCACAAGAAGAAGAAGCUAGUUCACGUCACCAGUUCUUCGAGAAAGUUUGGGACAUCGAUGUCCCAUUCAAACAAGGAUGUCCCUCCUCAGCCGAAGCUACUGGACUCUGCCAUGAAGACAGUGAAGGUAGAAAUGGUGAGAAAAGCUGAGGUUGAGGAGGCCAGGGAGGAGACUGCCAAGAGGGCAGCAGAGGAGGAAGCGGCCAAGCAGAGGCCAGCAAGGACUCAAGGGAAGUCCCCUAAUUUUCUUGCGGGUCAUGAUGAGGUGCUGCGCCUGCAUUGUUAGAUGCGCUGCCUGCCGAGAUCCGAGGAGUUACAGAGAGUUUUUACAAAUUUUGGACCGACAGGUGGCAGCUGCACGCCUAAAGCUACGAUGCGGUGGACCUCAUCAGGGCCUUGGUGAGCUAAAGUGUAAAGACCUUGGGCCUUGCACUUGAGUGUAGGGAAACACUCGUCGACUUUCAGACGAGGAAUAAGUCCUCCAGGGACAAGUUGGCCUCCACAGAGGAGGAACUAAAGAAAAUAAAGGCCGAGGUGGAGGAGAUGAAGGCCCAAAAGAUUGAAGAUACAACCAAGUUGGAAUCUGCCUUGACCCAAAUAGAGGCCUUGAAGAAGGAGGCUUACGAGUCUCGGUGUGAAGUGGCUUCCCUCACUAAGAAGGUGGAGACAUCAAAUAAUCAAUAGAAGGUCACUGUUGAGGCCCUGGAGAAAGCAAAUCUUGAACUUGUUGGGGCCAGGGAUGCCUACAACUUUCUGAAUGACCAAAUAAAGUGGCACGUUGAUGAGGUGAAGAGGGCAAGGGAGGAGGCAGUUAAGGAUUACAUUGCCAACUUCCACCUCACCGAGGAGUAUCAACACUUCGAGUUGUAUUGGAAGAACUUUGCCUAUGCUGAGGUGCUGGAUAGUUCUGAGGAGAUUUUCCCAAAUGUCGACCUGAGGUCGGACUUUGUUGAUGAAGUUCCUCAGAUGCCUGCUGAGAAAGCGGUCUGUGAUGAAGCGGUAGAGGACAAAGAAGCAGACACUUUUGAAACUCAGACUGCAGAGGUGCAUUCUGUCGAGGCAGUGCCACCAUCAGCAUAAGUAGCAUAGUUUGUCCUUAAUUCAUUCUGAUGUACUGGCCUCAGGCUCCCCUCUUGUAAUAUCAUGUUCAAUGUCAUUGAAAAUCAAUGUUUUGCAAGUAUUUUCAAUUCUCAACGUCAAUGAAAAUCAACGACAGCGCACGGAGCUCGGUAAAUAUCCACGCAUAAGUCUGAGCUAACAAUCCGAACUUGACAAUUUAACUUCCAUUGUAAUAAUCAAGCUUAAGGAUGAGUUAAUAAUCAAGCAAUGUAAACGAUGAGUUAACUGGUUGCACUUAGGUUUCGAUACUUGAAAUAAACUACGACGCCCAAAUUGCACUUGGGUUAUUUGACUAGAUAUUUCCAUUGAGUUCGAAUUAGGGAGGUAAAACAAUGGUGGGUGAGGUGUACAUGUUGAGGCUUCUUCCUUUGGUGUUCAGUAUCGCCAAAGGAAGACAAGUGGAGUGAGCCUCGAAAUUCUGGCAAGGUGACCCCAGAGUUGGGGAACAGGACCUCUCUUCCGAGGCUCCCACACUUCCCUACAUGGUGGAUGGUGCAGCCAUGGAGAGGCUUCUUCCUUUGGCGUUCAGCCUCGCCAAAGGAAGCCAUGUAGAGUAAGCCUCGAAGUUCAAGCAAGGUGACCCCAGAGUUGGGGAUCAGGACCUUUCCUCCGAGGCUCCCAUGCUUCCCUUCAUGGUGGAUGGUGCAGCUAUGAAGAGGCUUUUUCCUUUGACGUUCAUCCUCGCCAAAGGAAGGCAUGUGGAGUGAGUCUCGGAGUUCAGGCGAGAUGACCCUUGAGUUGGGGAUCAGGACUUCUCUUCCGAGGCUCCCACGCUUCCCUUCAUGGUGGAUGGUGCAGCCAUAGAGAGGCUUCUUCAUUUGGCGUUCAGCCUCGCCAAAGGAAGGCAUGUGGAUUGAGCCUCGGAGUUCAGGCGAGGUGACCCAAGAGUUGCGGAUCAGGACUUCUCCUUCGAAGCUCCCACGUUUUGCGAGUAUCUGAAUUUAAAUGAAAUUUUAUCAAAGCUGGAAAUCCAUUACAUAAGUUGGGAAAAUUCGUCCAGUGAUGCAGUACAAUCAUUGGUAGUAAAUUCUAAGAUGUUCAAUAUUUCAUGGACGAGGCUAUGUCUUGCCAUCCAUAUCUUCAAUUUUGUAGGUGCUGGGUCGGACUUCUUCUUUGAUUCUGUAGAGACCUUCCCAGUUUGGACUCAAGGUACCUUCGCCUGGCACUUUGGAGAAGAGGAAGACUUUCCUAAGGACUAAAUCAUUGAUUCGGAAGGACCUCUUCUUCACCUUGGAGUUAAAAUAUUUAGUCAUCUUCCUUUGGUAAGUAGUGAGCCUCAGCUAGGAGUCGUCUCUUCUUUCAUCCAUGAAGUCGAGGUUGAACCUCCGUAGCUCAUCAUUAGUUAUUUCACUGAAGUGCAAGCGACGCGAUGAUGGUAAGCUGACCUCGACGGGGCUCAUGGCUUCGGUUCCAUAAGCCAUGAGGAAAGGAAUUUCUCCCGUGGGAGUUCUGGCGGUAGUUCGGAUUGCCCAAAGUACUUGAGGCAACUCGUCAGCCCAGGAUCCUUUUGAGGCAUCCAGCUUCUUUUUGAAGACAUGUUUGAUAGUUUUGUUUACAGCCUCAACUUAGCCAUUGGCUUGAGGGUGAUGAGGCGUUGAGAAGUGCUUCUUGAUUCCAAGUUCUUCGCAUAGGUUCCUAACCUUCUUAUUAUCGAGUUGCCUUCCAUUAUCUGAAACUAUGGAGUGGAAAAUUUCAAACCGACAUAUGAUGUUCUUCCAAAAGAAUUUGGAGGUGUUUGCUUCUGUGAUUUUUCCCAGCAGUUCGGCCUCAACCCACUUCGUGAAGUAAUCAAUGGCUACAAUGGCAAAGCUCGCGUCUCCUCUGCCUUUAAACAAAGGACCUAUCAGAUCCACCCAUCACUUGGAGAAGGGCCAUGGGCUGGAGAUAGCAGUUAGCUCAUGUGAGGGUUGUCUCUUAUUGGGGGAGAACCGCUAGCACUUGUCACAUUUGCGCACAAAUUGAAGCGCAUCCUUUUUCAAGGUGGGCCAGUAGAAACCUUAUCUCAGUACUUUUUGUGCCAAGGCUAGUUCUCCUGAAUGAUUACCACAAACACCUUCGUGGAUUUUCCUUAGAAUGUAAGUGGCCUCGUCUCCCCCAACGCAGCGAACAAGUGGGGAAGAGAAGCUUCUUUUGUAGAGUACGUCAUCAAUGAAGAAGAAAUGAGCUGACCUCCUUCUUAGAUUGUAAGCCUCAUCGUUGUUAGUGGAUAGGACCUGGUCCCUUAGGUAGGCUAUGAUUGGUUGCAUCCAGGUGGGGGUGCUUCCGACCCACAUCACCUUCGAAGCCUUGGUUGACGGCGUGAGGAGGUGCUCAAUUGGUACUGUUGUAAGUAGUUCGGAGUCAUUGCUGGUCGCGAGUUUAGAGAGUGUAUCUGCAUGUUUAUUCUCGAAGCGAGGAAUCUGUAUUAUUUCGAAUUUUUCAAAAGAUGGGAGGAGGUUCAUCACCAUCUUCAAGUAGAAGGCCAUGGUUUUAUCCCUAGCUGAAAAACUGUCAUUCACUUGGCUUACUUCCAGCUGGGAGUCACUGUUGAUACGUAGCCUCCUUACUUGCAUUUCUUUGGUUAAUUUGAGGCCUGCGAGGAGCGCCUCAUAUUCAGUAGCGUUGUUGGUGGCCUUAAAUCCAAACCUCACAGCUGAGUUCAACUUGUGACCUUCUGGGCUGACAAUGACUACUCCAGCUCCGAACCUUUUCUCCAGCCGAACCGUCCACGAACAAGUUCCACGUGGGGGGCUCAACAGGUUCCAUAACCUCUUCCACCUCGGGUACAUUGGUGAACUCUGCUACAAAAUCAGCUAAAGCUUGGCCCAUGAUGGCUGCCCUUGUUUUAAAGACAGUGUCGAAUUCGCUUAGCUCCACUGCCCAUUUCAAUAGUCUUCCUGAGGCAUCUGGCUUCUGUAGCACUUGCCUCCAAGGGAAGUUGGUCAGCACAUGAAUGGUGUGUGCUUGGAAAUAGGGCCUCAGCUUCGUAGAGGCUAUGAUCAAGGCUAAGGCUAGCUUCUCCAUAUCAGGAUAGCAGGAUUCCAGAGACAGGAGUGCCUUGCUGGUGUAAUAAAUGGGGAGUUGGGUGGUUCCUUUCUGUCGGGUUAGAACCGCACUGAUGGCCUUGUUGGAAAUGGCCAAGUACAGCCGGAGGAUAUCGUCGGGCUUAGGCUUGGAGAGGAGGGGGCCUGCCCUAGGUGCAUUUUCAGGCCCUGGAAAGUCUCUUCACAUUCCUCAUUCCAUUCGAACUUCUUCCCGACUUUCAAUACCUUAAAGAACGGGAGGCAUUUAUCAGUGGUCUUGGAGACAAAGCGGCCGAGGGCUGCCACCCGUCCUGUUAGGCUUUGGACUUCCUUCGAUUUCUAGGGUGAUGUCAUCUCGAGUAAGGCAUUGAUCUUUUCAAGGUUGGCUUUGAUUCCUCUUUGGUUGACCAUGUACAACUUGCCAGAGGCAACACCAAAGUCACACUUGAGUGGGUUUAGCUUCAUCAUGUACCUCCUGAGAAUUCUGAAAGUGUUAUCCAAGUGCAUCACAUGGUCGUCGGCCUUCAGGCUUUUUACAAGCAUAUCGUCAACGUAGACUUCCAUUGUCUUGACGAUGAGGUCUACAAACAUUCUGUUAACAAGUCUUUGGUAGGUGGCCCUGGCAUUUUUCAACCCGAAGGGUAUCAUCUUGUAGCAGGAAAGGCCUCUGUCAGUGAUAAAGGAGGUGUUUUUCUCAUCGGACGGGUACAUGAGUAUUUGGUUGUAGCCAGAGUAGGCAUUCAUGAAGCUCAGGAGCUCAUGCCCGGCAGUGAAGUCUACCAAUUAAUCAAUUCUCGAAAGUGGGAAGUUGUCUUUGGGGCAUGCUUUAUUGAGAUUGGUGAAGUCAAUGCAUACCCUCUACUUACCAUUGUGCUUCUUGACUAACACCGGGUUGGAAACCCACUUCGGGUAGAUGACCUCUCUGAUGAAGCUAUUCUUGAUUAGCUUCUGUACUUCUUCCUUCAGAGCCUCAUAUCUUUCGAGGUGAGGGCUCUUCUCUUCUGUCAGUGCGGGGCAACCUUAGAAUCUAUCUUUAGGUGGUGGCAGCUGACUUUGGGGUCUAUGCCCACCAUGUCCUCAUGCCUCAAGGUAAAGACGUCAAGGUUCUUGCAAAGAAAGCUUUUCGAUCUUUCUUUCAUGUCAUUGCUCAAGCCUAUGCCUACUUUCAACACUUUCGCGGGAUCGCGGGGGUCGAUCGAGAAGCUUUCUAGCUCCUCAACCGGAGUAAUUUGGGGUUGGUGCUCAAUCAUGCGGAGAUCGAUCUCAUCGAUCAUGGAGAGUUCUUCCUGCUCGGGAGGCGCGUCAAUCAUGUCAACAUCUUCUCGUUCGGGAGGGGCCUCAUUUAGGAUGUUUUUCGUAUCCACAUCAGUCAAGAUGGCGUCUAUGUCUCUGGGCUUAACCUUUCUGAUAGAGCUUAGGUAGCAUUCUCUGAAUCCCCUUUGAUCACCUCUCACUGUUAUCACCUCGUUCCCAGUUGGGAGUUUCAUGCAUAAGUGGUAGCUGGAAGUAACGGCUCCCAACUCCUUCAAGGCUAGUCUACCCAAGACUCCGUGGUAGGUCGACCGAUUGUCUGCAAUAAGGAAUUUCAUGAAGUUCAUGGUGGUUUGGGAGGACUCUCCCAUCUCUAUUGCCAAUGUUAUCUUUCCUCUCGGAGUCAAACUAUCUCCGGUAAAUCCAUAUAGAGGAGUGGAGGUGGGCGUCAGUUCAUGGUCCAGGAUUAUCUUGUCAAAGGUGGACUUGAAUAGGAUGUUAACAGAGCUUUCAUUGUCUACUAGCAUUCGCUUGAGUCCAUUUCGGGCCACAACAGUCCUUACCAUAAGUGUAUCACAAUAGGGGUAGUGAACUCCUUUAGAGUUUUCAUGGGUGAAGACGAUGGGUGGUACUUGAUUUCUUCGGGAGCUAUUGUCUAUGAUAUAACUGGUUAGUGGGAGGCGUUUGGCCUCUUAGGCGUAAUUUUGUUUUGCGUUCCAAGUUUUCCCUCCCACGUAGAGGCCUCCAAAUAUGGUGUCUAUUUCGUGAAUAGGGGCCUCCUCUCAUACAUAGCGGUUCCCUCGAUGCCUGUGUCCCUCCCUAGUUCUAUCAGCGAUAUGUUCCAUUCGGCGGGGGGAGACAUCUCACUAGCAGGGGCGACCUCCUCACGCCUAGGUCGCUAGUCAUUCCCAGGCAGGGGCCUGUUCGCGUGCGGCGAAUCAUUCCUCCUGUCUUGGGGGUUUUCCCGUCGAUUGCGGUAUGCGUACUCCCUACACUCUGACGUGUCAUGACCGUAGGAGUGGUGGUACGUACAAUAAUAGAGGGGGUUUUGAUUAGUCCUAUUCCUAGGUCCUCAACCGCGCUCCCGACCUCUUCCUCUACGGGGGAGGGGGGGCUGUUGUGAAGUCCCUGCUUGCGGUCGGUAGUUGUUGGAUUGACAUCUUCAUAUACCAAAGUUGGAACCGAGUUCAAAGUAGCAGCAGCAAGUGCUUGCCCUGAAUUUCCACCACCAGGUGGGUUCAUCUAGUAGUCCAUCACGUGGGAGGUCGGUCCCCUGGCAUGCUGUCUUUGUUGAGGUAGGAGGUCUCUGCUGGCC